rnacentral:lncRNA from 1 species
GGCGACAUCGGGUCCACUAGCCCUGUAUACGUUAGCGUAAACGACGUACGUCAGGCUCUGCUUCUCUCACACUGGAACAAAUUUCUCUCUUUGAAAGGCACUGCGGAACAGAGGACUUACCGAACGGGGAGAUGUCAAAUCCAGCGCGACGAGGGCGGCGCUGGACUGCGUUGCCCUGCUGGUUUCCGGCGUUCUGGGCCUGGCUGACUUGGACGUCGACGGAGUUGUCCCUGUUCUCCUGCGCCGCGGAGGCCACGGAGAGCGGGCGGGUUCUCCCGCCGGUCGAGAGCGGCGCUGGCCUCGCGGCCCUCCAGGCACGGAUGGGCAGGCGCGCGGCCGGGGAGAGGCGGCUGACGAGAGCGAAGGGGGCGUUCGCGUCAGCCAUUGCACCAGAUAGGGAGCUUUAAAAGUCGCUCGAGAAUUGAAACGAGAGAGUGUCGAUGAGAUCGUUGAAACUCGGAAGCCGAUGUUCUACGGACUGCAGCUAAGUGGUUCUUAUCUUGCUCGCUUGUUCGGUGGGAGAUGGCGAGUUUGCCGCGCCCAUUUAUAGAGCGGAGGUGAUUUCAUGCCAUGAUCGUGGAACGACGGGGAAAGAUGUUGAAGCUUCGGGACAACGCACACCGCUCGGCGUACCUGGUUGGAGAGGCUCGGGUGUUCUUCAGGUCUGUGGGGUUCUCUCGAUAAUUCUCGAACACUUUCUCGGCACUUCGCGGUCAGGAGGCCCAACAUGAAAAUAUAUUUCAGAUCGCGAAGCCGAGGCCCAUCUCGUGAUGUGACCUUUUCCCUGUUUCUUCUGUUCUUCUUUUAUAGUAUAGUAGCAAAAAUGCCCAUGCGGUGCAACGUGAGAAAACUAAUAAUAUCACACACAUCUGAAAGUAUGACUCAAAGACUCCACCUCGCAUGCCGUGCAAGUCCAAGUCCUCUAUUUCAACACGGCAUUCAUCUAUCGCCGCUUUUCUUAAUUUUCGCCCUCACUGACGGUGUCCCCAGUGUCCACCUGAUCAUAAUGUAUGUAGACAUGAUCAAUGCAGAGGCGAUUAGCCUGACCAUCACAUGACACACCUGUCAUUGAAUCGCACCAACCCAAGGGAUUAAACUGCGCCAAUGCAAGGGAAUGUUUUAACUAAUCUCUUGAGCUGGGGUUGAGGGCUAGCUGCCCUCUGUGCCCCUCGGGCACAUGCUCCAUACAAUGUCUCCUGCAUAACCCUCAUGCUUCGUUAUGGAGCAAAUGUCUGUGGUCCUGUACGAAGGUUGUCCAGAUCGAGGAACUGGGUUACGGUCCAAGUACUAAUGUAAAAAACGAUUAGUCGCUCUGUGAUAGGGUUCUUUAGGAGGUCACUUCAGAAGAUAAUGUGCGGCUAACGACAAUGUUGGACACUUACCUACUACCACAUGAAGCGCUAACUCGGUAGCAUGCCAGCCGGUUGCCGCCAAGGCAACUCGCCUAUAACUCUAAGCAACUAAUAUCAAUUGACGAUUCUAAGGGAUGCCCCCAUUCCCAUAACAUGUGUCGCUUCGCUGCAUGCGCCCACUGCCACGGCAAGAUUUAUCAUUUACUAGUUGUGUGAAAAUCGUGUUUGCCUGUCCUGAUUGGCUCUACCAAAUCGGCAGUUGCCUAAUUCUAUCUUCUGGCUCUGCCACAAAUUUUCAAUAUUUCAGUCACUGUUAAUUAUUACAUUUGGUAAUGUAAAAAGAACAUCAAGUAACAAGCGACAAACAACAUCAAGUAAUAAUGAUCGGUGUUCAUUGAAAAAAAAUCAGUUAGCCAUCCAACAGAACUCAGUGCAAUCUUUUUUUAUAGUGUUUGUGCGAACCAAUUGAUUUUUAUUUGACAUCAACCGCACAGCGACCCGUCUCGCUGGAACAUGACGGUGCUCUAGACUCGCACACGCGUCAACUGGCUGCUGGACCCACCGCCACCCACCGGCGAGAGGUAGCAACAGCAAGCCCUGCUUAUCCUCCUUUGCUCUCUCCAUCGACCUCAUAUCACCACCCAACUCUCCUCUUCCUGUCUAUCCCGCUGUCACGCCCAAUAUGUAACCCUAUCCUAAAGGAACUAAGGUCCCACCAAGGAUAGAAGCGCAUAUUGGAGACGCUUUUGCAAGGUGGAUAUCAUUCAUCGUACCAUUACAUAAUAGUUAGGGAUACAUACAAGAGGCAUAUGAUGCCACACGAAUACAACGUCAUCAUACAUAAGAGCGACAUCCGACUGUUGAGGAACGUAGUAAUUUUAAAAAAAUUCCUACGCACACACAAGAUCAUGGUGAUGCAUAGCAACGAGAGGAGAGAGUGUGUCCACGUACCCUCGUAGACCGAAAGCGGAAGCGUUAGCACAACGCGGUUGAUGUAGUCGUACGUCUUCACGAUCCGACCGAUCAAGUACCAAACGCACGGCACCUCCGAGUUCAGCACACGUUCAACUCGAUGACGUCCCUCGAACUCCGAUCCAGCCGAGCUUUGAGGGAGAGUUCCGUCAGCACAACGGCGUGGUGACGAUGAUGAUGUUCUACCGACGCAGGGCUUCACCUAAGCACCACUACGGUAUUAUCAAGGUGGAAUGUGGUGGCGGUGGGCACCGCACACGGCUAAGAGAUCUAUGAUCAAUUGUUGUGUCUAGAGGUGCCCCCUGCCCCUGUAUAUAAAGGAGGGAGGGAGAGGCCGACCCUAGAGGGAGGGCGCCAAGUGUGAGGAGUCCUACUAGGACUCCCAAGUCCUAGUAGGAUUCCCCUCUCCUUUCCGGAGUAGGAGAGAAGGAAAGAGGGGGAGAGGGAGAAGGAAAAGGGGGAUGCACCCCUUGUACAAUUCGAACCUGAGGGGGGGGCUCCUUCCUUUUGGCCUCUCUCCUCUAUUCCCGUAUGGCCCAAUAAGGCUGAGGGAGUUCCGGAUUAGGGGGUGUCCGGAUAGCCGAACUAUCAUCAUCGACCAGACUCCAAGACUAUGAAGAUACAAGAUUGAAGACUUCGUCCCGUGUUCGGAUGGGACUUUCCUUGGCGUGGAAGGCAAGCUUGGCGAUACGGAUAUGUAGAUCUCCUACCAUUGUAACCGACUCUGUGUAACCCUAGCCCUCUCCGGUGUCUAUAUAAACCGGAUGGCUUUAGUCCAUAGGACGAACAACAAUCAUACCAUAGGCUAGCUUCUAGGGUUUAGCCUCCUUGAUCUCAUGGUAGAUCCACUCUUGUAACACACAUCAUCAAUAUUAAUCAAGCAGGACGUAGGGUUUUACCUCCAUCAAGAGGGCCCGAACCUGGGUAAAACAUCGUGUCCCUUGCCUCCUGUUACCAUCCGCCUAGACGCACAGUUCGGGACCCCCUACCCAAGAUCCGCCGGUUUUGACACUGACAUUGGUGCUUUCAUUGAGAGUUCCUCUGUGUCGUCACCGAUAGGCUCGAUGGCUUCUUCAAUCAUCGUCAAUGACGCAGUCCAGGGUGAGACCUUCCUCCCCGGACAGAUCCUCGUAUUCGGCGGCUUCGCACUGCGGGCCAAUUCGCUUGGCCAACUGGAGCAGAUCGAAAGCUACGCCCCUGGCCGUCAGGUCAGAUUCGGAAGUUUGAACUUCACGGCUGACAUCCGCGGGGACUUGAUCCUCGAUGGAUUCGAGCCACAGCCGAGCGUGCCGCACUGUCACGGCGAGCAUGAUUUAGCUCUGCAGCCGGACAGUACCCUGGAGGCCGCACUCGAACCCGCUCCGAUCUUCAAUUCGAAGCCGGCUGCGCAGGUCGAGGACGGAUGGCUAGACACCGCCUCGGGGGCUGCAACCUCUACGGCGAUAAAGCCGAACACUGACCUUGUCCCUCAUGAAGCUCGUGACUCCGAGGUGCCGGACUCCUUGCCGGACUCCGAACCUCCCGCGCCCCCUCCGAUCGGAUCUGAUUGGGCGCCGAUCAUGGAGUUCACCGCAGCGGACAUCUUUCAACACUCACCUUUCGGCAACAUCUUGAGUUCGCUAAAGUAUCUCUCGUUAUCAGGAGAGCCCUGGCCGGACUGCGGUCAGGACGGUUAGGAUGCGGACGACGAAGAAAUUCAAAGCCCACCCACCACCCACUUGGUAGCCACUGUCGACGAUCUAACCGACAUGCUAGACUACGACUCCGAAGACAUUGACGGUAUGGACGACGAUGCUGGAGACGACCAAGAACCAGCGCCGACCGGGCACUGGAAAGCCACCUCAUCAUAUGACAUAUACAUGGUGGAUAUCCCAAAGGAUGGGAAUGGCGAAGGAACAGCGGAGGAUGACCCCUCCAAGAAACAGCCCAAGCGUCGGCGUCAGGGGCGCCGCUCUAAAUCCCGCCACAGCAAGAAUGAAGAUUCCGGCACCGGAGAUAAUAAUACACCGGACAGUGCCGAAGACAACCCACUCUAGCAAGAUCCAGCGCAGGAGGACGGAGACGCCAGCCCUCAUGAGAGAGCGGCAGAAGAAGAGGUAGAGGAUUAUAUGCCUCCCUCCGGAGACGAGGCAAGCAUCGACGAUGAUGAAUUUGUCGUGCCUAAGGAUCCCGUCGAACAAGAGCGUUUUAAACGCAGGCUUAUGGCCACGGCGAACAGCCUCAAAAAAAAGCAGCAACAGCUUAGAGCUGAUCAAGAUCUGCUAGCCAACAGAUGGACUGAAGUCCUCGCGGCCGAAGAGCAUGAGCUCGAACGCCCCUCCAAAAGCUACCUUAAACGCAAGCUGCUCCCCCGAUUAGAGGAGGAGGUGUAUGAACCCGCAUCACCAGGAGACAAUAAGGCUGACCGACCACCCCGUGGUCGCGACAGAGAGGCCCCUAGGCCCUUCACUAGAGUACCCCGACAUCGCUCGAAGAGCACAAAGCCACAGGGGAACGUUCCGGACUUGCGAGAUAUAUUGGAGGAUAAGGCAAGACAAUCAAGAUCGAUCUAUGGAUCGCGUGGGCACCCCAUGAUACGUGACGACAACCGUCGCGCCGGACACAGUAAGUCCGGCCGGGCCGAACAAAACAGACAAAGCUCUUUUGAGCUCCGUCGUGAUAUCGCCCAGUACAGAGGCGCCGCACACCCACUAUGCUUCACAGAUGAAGUAAUGGAUCAUCAAAUCCCCGAAGGGUUUAAACCCGUGAAUAUUGAAUCUUACGAUGGCACAACAGACCCCGCGGUUUGGAUCGAAGACUAUCUCCUUCACAUCCACAUGGCCCGCGGUGACGAUCUUCACACCAUCAAAUAUCUCCCCCUCAAGCUUAAAGGACCAGCCCGGCAUUGGCUUAACAGCUUGCCAGCAGAGUCACUUAGGAGUUGGGAAGACCUGGAAGCCGCAUUCCUCGAUAACUUCCAAGGUACGUAUGUGCGACCACCAGACGCUGAUGACCUAAGCCACAUAAUUCAGCAGCCAGACGAAUCGUCCAGACAAUUCUGGACACGAUUCUUAACCAAGAAAAACCAAAUCAUCGACUGUCCGGAUGCGGAGGCCCUCGCGGCCUUCAAGCAUAAUAUCCACAACGAGUGGCUUGCCCGGCACCUGGGACAGGAAAAGCCGAAAUCCAUGGCAGCCCUCCCAUCACUCAUGACCCGCUUCUGCGCGGGUGAGGACAGCUGGCUAGCACGCAGCAACAACCUCAGCAAAAAUUCUGGCAGUCCGGAUAUCAAGGACCGUAAUGGCAGGUCGCGUCAUAACAAAAACAAAUGCCGCAUUAACGGCGACAAUAGUGAGGAUACGACAGUCAAUGCCGGAUUCAGAGGCUCUAAACCCGGUCAGCGGAAAAAGCCAUUCAAAAGAACUACUCCGGGUCCGUCCAAUUUGGACCGAAUACUCGUCCGCUUGUGCCAGAUACACGGCACCCCCGAAAAGCCAGCUAACCACACCAACAGGGACUAUUGGGUAUUCAAGCAGGCAGGCAAGUUAAUUGCCGAAAACAAUGACAAGGGGCUGCACAGCGAUGACGAGGAAGAGACCCGACCGCCGAACAAUAGAGGACAGAAGGGUUUCCCCCCACAGGUGCGGACGGUGAACAUGAUGUACGCAACACACAUACCCAAAAGGGAGCGGAAGCAUGCACUCAGGGAUGUAUACGCGAUGGAGCCAGUUGCCCCGAAGUUCAAUCCAUGGUCCUCCUGCCCGAUCACUUUUGACCGAAGGGACCACCCCCCCAACAGCCGCCAUGGUGGAUUCGCCGCAUUGGUCUUAGACCCAAUCAUCGAUGGAUUUCACCUCACCAGAGUCCUGAUGGACGGCGGCAGCAGCCUGAACCUGCUUUAUCAGGAUACAGUGCGCAAAAUGGGCAUAGACCCCUCAAGGAUUAAACCUACCAAGACGACCUUUAAAGGAGGCAUACCAGGUGUAGAAGCCAAUUGUACAGGCUCAGUUACACUAGAAGUGGUCUUUGGAUCCCCGGAUAACUUCCGAAGCGAGGAGUUAAUCUUCGACAUAGUUCCGUUCCGCAGCGGCUAUCAUGCCCUGCUCGGACGUACCGCGUUUGCAAAGUUCAACGCGGUGCCGCACUACGCAUACCUCAAGCUCAAGAUGCCAGGCCCUCGAGGAGUCAUCACGGUCAACGGAAACACUGAACGUUCUCUCCGCACGGAGGAACAUACAGCGGCUCUCGUGGCAGAAGUACAAUGCAGCCUCUUAAGGCAAUUCUCGAGUCCGGCCGUUAAACGGCCGGACACAGCUAAGCACGCUCGGGGCAACCUACAACAAGACCACCUGGCACGUUCCGAGCACACGUAGCAGUGCGGCCCCAAUCCCAGCCCCUGUAAAAUGUCAAGACAGGUCCUUCGCGUACACCAUUACGCUCUGAAGAUACCAUGGGCAUGGGGAGAGGGUGUCGGGGAAACUGAUCCACCAACAUUUAUGGGGACCGGGCCCCUUUCGGUUCGGAGGGGGGCGGAGGCCGCGCAAAGAGCGGAUCGAGGCAGUACACGCGAGCAGUUUUACCCAGCUUCGGGCCGCACGGAUGCGUAAAACCCUACUGCUGCUUGUUUGUGUGUAUUGAAUUCUUGCUCAGGAGCGAUAGACGCUGCCAGACCGAGCGUGAGAGUGUUCCUGAUGUUUCGAAUGAGCCCGAACCUCUUCUACGUUGCGCUUGGGCCUCCUUUUAUACUUUCAAGGGGUCACCGACAGGUGGCAACGUAGACUAGAAGGGUAAAAAUGGAAAAGGAUGCGGUAGGUGCAGCUACCGCUACUGUGGACACAGUGCACCCUACCUAACUCUGACGGCAGGGGACAAGGUCAUUGAAUGCCCGUCUGAGUUGCCUAAACAGUGCAAAAAGUGACCGUUAGGAGCGCCACCGUUUGCCACGAUGGCCUUCUCUUCAUCUCCGCUUGCCACCGCGUACCCCUGGCUGCACAGGCUCCCGCCACGCGCCCCUGAGGAAGCCUCAUGGUGACACGCGGGUGGGUGCGCUGGAGCGUGGGUACAUAGUGGCAGCGGGCCCCCGGCGAGUACCUUGUCGGGGUCGUCGUCUUGUCGAGUCCAGAAGCUUGUCGCUCACCGGACCUUGCCGGGACGUGCGGUGCAUCGCGGCAAGUUUCUUGAAGUGUGGUGGUUGGCCUUCCCGGCAAGCUCCUCUUGCCGGGGCCUUGUCUCUUCCCGGCAAGAUCCUCUUGCCGGGGCCUUGUCUCUUCAUCUUGAAUGCUUUGUUCUUGAAUGGCUCCAAAGGAACCCAUGGAGGACUCUGGUGGUCGUCCGGCAAGCCUUGCCGCGCGGCGCUGCAACUGCCCGUGCAUAAGUUCGGGAUACUAGGGUACCCCUACUCUAGUACACCGACAGAGGGGCGCGACCACGAUAGGCCCAGACUGCGGCUCAACCACACUAGGGGCUCUCAAGUGUGUCGUUCUUUUUUUCUUUUUCCUUUUUAUUUUUACCCACAGGACUCCGUUCAUCAGAGGCCCUGUCCGGCAGUAGACCUGCCGAACUCACGAUGCAACAGCCAGGGAAGAAGAAAGGCUACAAUGAAUAUCCAGGUGGUCUCCAUUGCGAGCAUUAAAUCUGUUUUAUGCACCAUUCCGCAGCCUACCCCUGGAGGGGGACAUGUUUAACAGUCCCAUCCCUUGCUUAUCGCACCAUUUGUAUCGUUCUGCACUUACAGCAGUCUUUCUUGAAUAAGUAAUGCAACACCUUUUUGCUUCCAAUUGCAUUUCUCUUUUAUACAUAUGUUCAUUUGUGACACGUCGCAUCCAUACGUUUUGGUACGGCUAAAUACACUAGGGGCUUAUGUUUCCCGCAUCAUGGUGUGAUAAGUCCGAACACUUUCACAAGUGCGGCACCCCGAACUUAUAGCAUUAUAUGCAUCGGCUCCGAAUCAUGUCUUGGGUCAAUAGUUGGGUUUGCCUGGCUCUCAUGUUUUGGUACCUUACGUUCCGUUGUAUCGGCUAAGGUAGCACUGGGAGAACCACUGCGAUUGCGCCCCGGUUGAGCUGGGCGAGCGCCUCAGUGGAGAAAGCUAAAACUGACCGUCAUGAUGAGGCGAGAGCUGGUCGCUGUUCGAGAGGUUUUUUGCGAGUCCUUAAAGACUUAUGCCUCUUAGAGUGAGGAGCCGACUUUGUCUGGCCCAGGCGUGGAUAGCGCCCCAAAUUCGGCCUUCCGAAGACUAGGGGCUUCGCCGAAAUUUAAAAUUAUAGAAUUCUAUGGCUAAGUGAGAGUGUUCAAGCAUUAUAAGUCCGGUUGCCUUGUUCGUUGUGUUGAGUGCCUCCCUAGAUAGACCCAAAUAUGGGAACAAGAGUGCUCAAAUUUAUCCCGAACACCCCAACACUCGUGGCAUGGGGGCUGAAGCCGAUGACUUGCCAUCUCUCAGAUUUGAUAAACAACCGCACAUAAGGUAAUACUUUAAAUUAAAAAGCGUUGCUUAGUGCAAAUGAACUAAGUUUUCAGCGCACAGGAUAACAAAAUGCGAGUCUACUCAAAUAUUACAUCUUUGGAGCACUCACCCGCAAUAGUGCGGGCACCCUUCAACAUACUCUUAUAAUACAUCUCGGGCGUGCGAUGCUCCUUGCCCUGCGGUGGCGGGUCCAUCACGAGCUUCUGGGCAUCCAUCUUGCUCUAGUGCACCUUUGCGUGGGCAAGGGCCCGACGGGCACCUUCAAUACAGGCGGAGUGCUUGAUGACUUCAACCCACGGGCACGCAUCCACCAGCCGCCGCACCAGGCCGAAGUAGCUCCCAGGCAUGGCCUCCUUAGGCCACAGCCGAACUAUGAGGCCCUUCAUGGCCUGUUCGGCCGCCUUGUGGAGCUCGACCAGCUGCUUCAGCUGGUCGCUAAGGGGCACCGGAUGUCCGGCCUCAGCAUACUGAGACCAGAAGACCUUCUCCGUCGAGCUCCCCUCCUUGGCCCGGUAGAACGCGGCAGCAUCGGACACGCUGUGAGGAAGAUCUGUGAACGCUCCUGGAGAGCUCCGAAUUCGGGUAAGCAACAGGUAAUUAACACUCACAUGCUUACUUUGCAUGAAAAAUGCCUUACCCGCUGCUAUUUUCUUCAAUGCCUCGAUUUCCUGGAGGGCCUUGUAGGCUUCGGCCUUCACGGCUUUGGCACUCUCAAGAGUCGUUGCAAGCUCAGACUCUCGAGUCUUCGAGUCACGCUCCAGGCUCUCAUGUUUUUUCACGAGAUCCUGGAGCUCUUGCUGUACCUCCGCCACCCGCGCCUCUUGCUUCUCUCGCUCGGUGCGCUCCGCGGCCGCAAUGCGUUCGGCCGCGGCCACCGCCUCUUUCAGGGUCGCCACCUCGUUAGUGGCCCCUGCAAUACCCACGUUAUCCUUGUCAUUCUUUUUGCAACCAAAAUCCUUUUCUGUAAGGUACAAUUUUAAUAAGGUGUUACUCACCUUCCUUGUCCUCGAGCUGCUUCUUGGCACGGCCGAGCUCGUUCUCGGACCGCUCAAGGCUUUCCUUCAAAGUAUUGACCUCUGCAGUUAGUGCGGCAGAUGUCAGCAGCGCAGCCUGCAAUCCCAUAUUGACAUAUUUUUUAUGACUCCUGCGUAUAUCUUCUUAAGAUCCUCCGUCCGGCUUUUCUUUCCGAACACCGAACCGAACAUCAGGGGCUACUGUCUAUGCGGUACUAUUUUACAUAUAUCAAAAUUCUUACCUCAAAGCCUGUUAGAAGGCUGCUGCAGGCUUCGGUCAGCCCGCUCUUGGCGAGCUGCACCUUCUGAAUCACCGCACUCAUAACUGUGCGGUGUUCCUCUUCGAUGGAGGCGCCAUUAAGCGCCUCCAGCAAGCUAUCCGGCGCCUCCGGUUGGACGGAGGCUGCCGGCGUCACGGUCUUGCCCUUCUUACGAAGGGGCCGCCCGCCGGACUCCGGAGCCACUAUGGGAUCCGGAGCCGAGUCCGGUGCAAAGUCCGGGAGGUUGUCCUGCGACACCUCCGGGGCCUCCUCCUCCUGGCGGGUCCCUCCCCGGGAUCCCACCUCGGCAUCGUCCGUGUCACGGGGGGUGGAGGCGGUCGGAAGAGAAUCCAUAUCCGACGCACCUAAGGACCCGCUCGACGAAGCGGGAAGAUCGUCCUUGGGCGGACUGUAGGGUUGUAUGCGGCAUUAGAAAGACAUUGUGCGGCAAAAAAGAAAAACCAUGAAGUUAUUCGGGAGUCCGGAUACUCACGAUCUCGCCAGGGGCUUGGCCCUUGGAGGCCAGUCCUCGUCGUCAUCACUGGCGUUGGCAGAGCAGUCCGGGGGAAGAGUUUUUACCUUCUUGGACCCUUCGGCCUCCCUCGUUGGGGAGGCCUUCCUUUUCUUCUCUCCCCCCGCUGGGGGAGAGGCUUUCUUCUUCUCCUCCUCACCUUGGUGAGAGGAGUCGGCCUCAGAGUCGUCAUCCGAUAGCACCGGAAAACGGGAACUCUUUCGAGUCCCCGUGGCCUUCUUCUUGGCCUUCUUCUCCGGCACCACGUGGGGUGCCGGAGCCAGCAGCCCCAUUAGGCGGGCGUCCGCUGGGUCCUCUGGCAAUGGGGCCGGACAGAUAGUCCGCUCGGCCUUCGCCAGCCAGUCUUGUCAAAGGAAAGGGAGUUUAGAUCCCGCAUAGAGUCAAACUAUGGAAAACAAGCGUCUCGUAAAGGAGAAAAUCGCUUACCUCGUCAGCCGGACGCUGCGAGCUGAAUCCGCGAUCUUUGGUAGCGGAUGCGGGAGCCUCGGCGCCCUUAAACAGCACCUUCCAGACAUCUUCGUACGUAGUGUCGAAGAGCCCGCUCAAAGUCUGGUGCGGCGCCGGAUCGAACUCCCACAUAUUGAAGCCCCGUCGUUGGCACGGGAGGAUCCGGCGGAUGAGCAUGACCUAGACCACGUUGACAAGCUUGAGCUUCUUGUCCACCAGCUUUUGGACGCAGGCUUGGAGUCCGGUCAUCUCCUCCGAAUCACCCCAAGUCCGGCCGCUCUCUUUCCAUUAGGUGAGCCGUGUGGGGAUGCCAGAUCUGAAUUCGGGGGCCACUGCCCAUUCUGGGUCACGCGGCUCGGUGAUGUAGAACCAUCCCGAUUGCCACCCCUUGAUGGUUUCCACGAAAGUGCCCUCAAGCCAAGUAACGUUGGACAUCCUGCCCACCAUGGCGCCUCCGCACUCCGCUUGGCUGUCCUUCACAACCUUCGGCUUGACACUGAAGGUCUUGAGCCACAACCCGAAGUGGGGCUGGAUGCAGAGGAAGGCCUCACACACGACGAUAAACGGCGAGAUGUUGAGGAUGAAAUUCGGGGCCAGAUCAUGGAAAUCCAGGCCGUAGUAGAACAUGAGCCCCCGGACAAAGGGAUGGAGUGGGAAGCCCAGUCCCCGGAGGAAAUGGGGAAGAAAUACUACCCUCUCAUGGGGCCCGGGGGUGGGGAUGAGCUCUCCCUCGUCGGGGAGCCGGUGUGCGAUGUCGCUGGACAAAUAUUCAGCGUUGCGCAGCUUCUGAAUCUGCCCCUCCGUGACGGAGGAGGCCAUCCACUUGCCUCCCGCUUCGGACAUAGUUGGAGAAGGUUGAGGUGAGAAGUGCGGACUUGGGCGCUGGAGCUCGAGUUCGCGGAGAUGGAUAAGCCAAGGAGGAAGAAGGCGCAGGUAAAAGGGUUGGAUCUUUAUCCCCUUAUAUGGGCGGACAAAAACAUGUGUCCCCACCGGCCUGGUAAAACUCGCUUAUCUCCCAAGCGCCGCAAUCAAUGGCGCGGUUGGGUUACCCACGUCCAUAUUGAUGGGAAUCCCGGAAUAAGGGGAACACAAUCUCUGCUUCGACAAGACGUGCCAAGGAAACCGCUUCGCUAAACGCGUUGAGGUGGUACAAUAAAAACAAUUCGAGUAAAAGCUUGGUAGUGGUGUGACGUCACGCCACAAAACACGUCAGCAGAUUGAACUGGUGUAAUAUUAUUCUCUCUACGGUGGUACGUGGAAUUUAUUUUUGCAGAGCCGGACACUAUCCUGGUGUUCACAAUCUUCUAUAAAUUAUUCGGAGGAAGAACCCGCCUUGCAAUGCCGAAGACAACAUGCGCGCCGGACUCGUCGUCAUUGAAGCCUGGUUCAGGGGCUACUGAGGGAGUUCCGGACUAGGGGGUGUCCGGAUAGCCGAACUAUCAUCAUCAGCCGGACUCCAAGACUAUGAAGAUACAAGAUUGAAGACUUCGUCCCGUGUCCGGAUGGGACUUUCCUUGGCGUGGAAGGCAAGCUUGGCGAUACGGAUAUGUAGAUCUCCUACCAUUGUAACCGACUCUAUGUAACCCUAGCCCUCUCCGGUGUCUAUAUAAACCGGAUGGCUUUAGUCCAUAGGACGAACAACAAUCAUACCAUAGGCUAGCUUCUAGGGUUUAGCCUCCUUGAUCUCGUGGUAGAUCCACUCUUGUAACACACAUCAUCAAUAUUAAUCAAGCAGGACGUAGGGUUUUACCUCCAUCAAGAGGGCCAGAACCUGGGUAAACAUCGUGUCCCUUGCCUCCUGUUACCAUCCGCCUAGACGCACAGUUCAGGACCCCCUACCCGAGAUCCGCCGGUUUUGACACCGACAAAGGCCCAUAUACUCCUCGGCGAAUUCCCGUAACUCUCCGGUACUCCAAAAAAUACCCGAAUCACUCGGAACCUUUCCGAAGUCCGAAUAUAGUCGUCCAAUAUAUCGAUCUUUAUGUCCCGACCAUUUAGAGACUCCUCGUCAUGUCCCCGAUCUCAUCCGGGACUCCGAACUACCUUCGGUACAUCAAAACACAUAAACUCAUAAUAUAACCGUCAUCGAACUUUAAGCGUGCGGACCCUACGGGUUCGAGAACUAUGUAGACAUGACCGAGACACGUCUCCGGUCAAUAACCAAUAGCGGAACCUGGAUGCUCAUAUUGGCUCCCACAUAUUCUACGAAGAUCUUUAUCGGUCAAACCGCAUAACAACAUACAUUGUUCCCUUUGUCAUCGGUAUGUUACUUGCCCAAGAUUCGAUCGUCGGUAUCUCAAUACCUAGUUCAAUCUCAUUACUGUAAGUCUCUUUACUCGUUCCAUAAUACAUCAUCCUGCAACUAACUCAUUAGUUACAAUGCUUGCAAGGCUUAUAGUGAUGUGCAUUACCGAGUGGGCCCAGAGAUACCUCUCCGACAAUGGGAGUGACAAAUCCUAAUCUCGAAAUACGCCAACCCAACAAGUACCUUCGGAGACACCUGUAGAGCACCUUUAUGAUCACCCAGUUACGUUGUGACGUUUGGUAGCACACAAAGUGUUCCUCCGGUAAACGGGAGUUGCAUAAUCUCAUAUUUAUAGGAACAUGUAUAAGUCAUGAAGAAAGAAACAACAACAUACUAAACGAUUAAGUGCUAAGCUAACGGAAUGGGUCAAGUCAAUCACAUCAUUCUCCUAAUGAUGGGAUCUUGUUAAUCAAAUGACAAAUCAUGUCUAUGGUUAGGAAACUUAACCAUCUUUGAUUAACGAGCUAGUCAAGUAGAGGCAUACUAGUGACACUAUGUUUGUCUAUGUAUUCACACAUGUAUUAUGUUUCCGGUUAAUACAAUUCUAGCAUGAAUAAUAAACAUUUAUCAUGAAAUAAGGAAAUAAAUAAUAACUUUAUUAUUGCCUCUAGGGCAUAUUUCCUUCAGUCUCCCACUUGCACUAGAGUCAAUAAUCUAGUUCACAUCGCCAUGUGAUUUAACACCAAUAUUCAUAUCUGUAUAUGAUUAACACCCAUAGUUCACAUCGUCAUGUGACCAACACCCAAAGGGUUUAUUAGAGUCAAUAAUCUAGUUCACAUCGCUAUGUGAUUAACACCCAAAGAGUACUAAGGUGUGAUCAUGUUUUGCUCGUGAGAGAAGUUUAAUCAACAGGUCUGUCACAUUCAGAGCCGUAUGUAUUUUGCAAAAUAUUCUAUGUCUACAAUGCUCAGUACGGAAUCUACUCUAGCUAAUUGCUCCCACUUUCAAUAUGUAUCCAGAUUGAGACUUAGAGUCAUCUGGAUUGCAUCGAUGCAACCCUUUACGAAGAACCUCUUGUCACCUCCAUAAUCGAGAAACAUAUCCUUAUUCCACCAAGGAUAAUUUUGACCAAUGUCCAGUGAUCUACUCCUAGAUCACUAUUGUACUCCCUUGCCAAACCAGGGCAGAGUAUACAAUAGGUCUGGUCCAUAGCAUGGCAUACUUUUAUAGAACCUAUGACUGAGGCAUAGGGAAUGACUUUCAUUCUCUUUCUAUUUUCUGCCGUGGUCGGGAUUUGAGUCUUACUCAAUUUCACACCUUUGCAACACAGGCAAGAACUCUCUCUUUGAUUGUUCCAUUUUGAACUACUUCAAAAUCUUGUGAAGGUAUGUACUCAUUGAAAAUCUUAUCAAGCGUCUUGAUCUAUCUCAAUAGAUCUUGAUGCUCAAUAUGUAAGUAGCUUUACUAAGGUCUUUCUUUUAAAGAACUCCUUUCAAACACUUCUUUAUACUUUCCAGAAAAAUUCUACAUCAUUUCUGAUCAACAAUAUGUCACUCAUAUAUACUUAUCAGAAAGGCUGUAGUUCUCCCACUCACUUUAUUGUAAAUACAGGCUUCACUUCAAGCCCGUAUAAAACUAUAUGCUUUGAUCAACUUAUCAAAGCGUAUAUUCCAACUCUGAGAUGCUUGCACCAGUCCAUAGAUGGACCGCUGGAGCUUGCACAUUUUGUUAGCACCUUUAGGAUUGACAAAACCUUCUGGUUGCAUCACAUACAACUCUUCUUUAAGAAAACCAUUAAGGAAUGUAGUUUUGACAUCCAUUUGCCAGAUUUCAUAAAAUUGGGCAAUUGCUAACAUGAUUCGGACAGACUUAAGCAUCGCUAUAGUUGAGAAAAUCUCAUUGUAGUCAACACCUUGAACUUGUCGAAAACCUUUUUGCGACAAGUCGAGCUUUGUAGAUAGUAACACUACUAUCAACGGCCGUCAUCCUCUUGAAGAUCCAUUUAUUUUCUAUGGCUUGCCGAUCAUCGGGCAAGUCCACCAAAGUCCACACUUUUUUCUCAUACAUGGAUCCUAUCUCAGAUUUCAUGGCCUCCAGCCAUUUGGCGGAAUCUGGGCUCAUCAUCGCUUCCUCAUAGUUCGUAGGUUUAUCAUGGUCUAGUAACAUGACUUCUAGAACAGGAUUACCGUACCACUCUGGUGCGGACCAUACUCUGAAAGACCUACGAGGUCUGUAGUAACUUGAUAUGAAGUUUCAUGAUCAUCAUCAUUAGCUUCCUCGCUAAUUGGUGUAGGAAUCACUGGAACUAAUUUCUGUGAUGACCUACUUUCCAAUUCAGGAGAAGGUACAAUUACCUUAUCAAGCUCUACUUUCUCUCCCACUCGCUUCUUUCGAGAGAAACUCCUUAUCUAGAAAGGAUCCAUCUUAGAAAGGAAUAUCUUGCCUUCGAAUCUGUGAUAGAAGGUGUACCCAACAGUUUCCUUUGGGUAUUCUAUGAAGACACACUUCUCCGAUUUGGGUUCGAGCUUAUCAGGUUGAAACUUUUUCAUAUAACCAUCGCGACCCCAAACUUUAAAAAAUGACAACUUUGGUUUCUUGCCAAACCACAGUUCAUAAGGCAUAGUCUCAACGGAUUUUGAUGGUGCCCUAUUUAAAGUGAAUGCAGCUGUCUCUAAUGCAUAACCCCAAAAUGAUAAUGGUAAAUCAGUAAGAGACAUCAUAGAUCGCACCAUAUUUAAUAAAGUGUGGUUAUGAUGUUCGGACACACCAUUAUGCUAUGGUGUUCCAGGUGGCAUGAGUUUGUGAAACUAUUCCACAUUGUUUUAAUUGAAGACCAAACUCGUAACUCAAAUAUUCGUCUCCGCGAUCAGAUCACAAAAACUUUAUUUUCUUGUUACGAUGAUUUUCCACUUCACUCUGAAAUUCUUUGAACUUUUCAAAUAUUUCAGACUUAUGUUUCCUCAAGUAGAUAUACUCAUAUCUGCUCAAAUCAUCUGUGAAGGUCAGAAAAUAAUGAUACCCGCCACGAGCAUCAACACUCAUUGGACCGCAUACAUCGGUAUGUAUUAUUUCCAACAGGUCAGUAGCUCGUUCCAUUGUUCCGAAGAACGGAGUUUUAGUCAUCUUGCCCAAAAGGCACGGUUCGCAAGCAUCAAAUGAUUCAUAACCAAGUGAUUCCAAAAGUCCAUCUUUAUGGAGUUUCUUCAUGUGCUUUACACCGAUAUGAUCCAAAUGGCAGUGCCACAAAUAAGUUGCACUAUCAUUAUCAACUUUGCAUCUUUUGGCAUCACUAUUAUGAAUAUGUGUAUCACUACGAUCGAGAUCCAACAAACUAUUUUCAUUGGGUGUAUGACCAUCGAAGGUUUUAUUCAUGUAAACAGAACAACAAUAAUUCUCUGAUUUUAAAUGAAUAAUUGUAUUGCAAUAAACAUGAUCAAAUCAUAUUCAUGCUCAACGCAAACGUGAAAUAACAUUUAUUUAGGUUUAACACUAAUCCCGAAAGUAUAGGGAGUGUACGAUGAUGAUCAUAUCAAUCUUGGAACUACUUCCAACACACAUCGUCACUUUAUCCUCAACUAAUCUCUGUUUAUUCUGUAACUCCUGUUUCGAGUUACUAAUUUUUAGCAACCGAAUGAUAACCCACAAGUGUAGGGGAUCGCAACAGUUUUCUAUAAGUAAGAGUGUCGAACCCAACGAGGAGCUAAAGGUAGAAUAAAUAUUCCCUCAAGUUCUAUCGACCAUCGAUACAACUCUACGCACGCUUGAUGUUCGCUUUACCUAGAACAAGUAUGAAACUAGAAGUACUUUGUAAGUGUGAUAGGAUAGGUUUGCAAGAUAAUAAAGAACGCGUAAAUAAAAAGUAGGGGCUGUUUAUAUAAAGAUGCAAUAAAGUAAAUAUAACGAGUGUGGAAAAGUGGUGGUAGGAGUUGUGAAAUUGUCCCUAAGCAAUUGACUAUGUUACUAGACCGAUAAUCACUAUUGCAAUUCUAUUUAAGGGAGAGGCAUAAGCUAACAUACUUUCUGUACUUGGAUCAUAUGCACUUAUGAUUGGAACUCUAGCAAGCAUUCGCAAAUACUAAAGAUUCAUUAAGGUAAAACCCAACCAUAGCAUUAAAGUAUCAAGUCCCCUUUAUCCCAUACGCAACAAUCCCCUUACUCGGGUUUGUGUUUCAGUCACUCACGCAACCCACUAUAAGCGAAUCAUAAACGCAUUGCAACACCCUACAACGGCAAUCCCUCAUGCUUGCACGACACAAAGGGCACCAUAGGACAGCACCAAUAAUAAAACAUGCAACUCAAACCAAUCAUAGCAAUUUAUCAAUCACCGAUAGGACAACGAAAAACUACUCAGACAUCAUAGGAUGGCAACACAUCAUUGGAAAAUAAUAUGAAGCAUAAAGCACCAUGUUCAAGUAGAGGGUACAGCCAGUUGCAGGAGAGUGGACCGCUGGAUAUAGAUGGGGGAAGGUGAUGGAGAUGUUGGUGAAGAUGACAGCGGUGUUGGUGAAGAUCGCGGUGAUGAUGAUGGCCCCCGGCAGCGCUCCGGCGCCACCGGAAGCAAGGGGGAGAGAGGCCCCCUUCUUCUUCUUCUUCCUUGACCUCCUCCCUAGAUGUGAGAAGGGUUUCCCCUCUGGUCCUUGGCUCCCAUGGCAUGGGAGGGGCUCCCCUCCGAGAUUGGAUCUAUCUCUCUGUUUCUGCGUUCUGUGUUUCUGCCCCUUCACCGUUUCCUUUAUAUCUGGAGAUCCGUAACUCCGAUUGGAGUGAAUCUUUCGCCCAGAUUUUUCUCGUAAAUAUAGCUUUCUUGCGGCAAAAGAAGGGCAUCAACCGCCUUACGGGUGGCCCACGAGAGUCCAGGGCGUGCCCAGGAGGGGAGGGCGCACCCCCCUGUCUCAUGGCCACCCCGGGCACCGUUUCGCGUUGAUUCUUCCUCCGAAAAAUCCCAAAUAUUCCAAAAUAUUUCUCCGUCCAUUUUUAUCCCAUUUGGAUUCCGUUUGAUAUUCGUUUUCUGUGAAACAUAAAACAUGCAACAGACAGGAACUGGCACUGGGCACUGGAUCAAUAUGUUAGUCCCAAAAAUAGUAUAAAAAGUUGCCAAAAGUAUAUGAAAGUUGAAGAAUAUUGGCAUGGAACAAUCAAAAACUAUAGAUACGACGGAGACGUAUCAGCAUCCCCAAGCUUAAUUCCUGCUCGUCCUCGAGUAGGUAAAUGAUAAAAAAAUUGAUGUGGAAUGCUACCUAGCAUAAUCUUGAUCAUAUAUCUAAUCAUGUCAUGAAUAUUAAGACACGAGUGAUUCAAAGCAAUAGUCUAUCAUUUGACAUAAAAACAAUAAUACUUCGAGCGUACCAAUAAAGCAAUCAUGUCUUUUCAAAACUACAAGGCCAAAGCAAGCUUAUCCCUACAAAAUCAUACAGUUUGGCCAUGCUUCAUUUUCGUCACACAAAAAUGCUCCCAUGAUGCACAACCUCGAUGACAAGCCGAGCAAUUGGUUCAUACUUUUUAACGCGCUUCAGCUUUUUCAACCCUCACGCAAUACAUGAGCGCAAGCCAUGGAUAUAGCACUAUAGGUGGAAUAGAAUAUAAUGAUGGAGGUUUAUAUGGAGAAGACAAAAAAGGGAGAAAAUCUCACAUCGACGCGGCUAAUCAACGGGCUUUGGAGAUGCCCAUCAAUUGAUGUCAAUGCGAGGAGUAGGGAUUGCCAUGCAACGGAUGCACUAAGAGCUAUAAGUGUAUGAAAGCUCAACAAAAGAAACUAAGUGGGUGUGCAUCCAACUUGCUUGCUCAUGAAGACCUAGGGCAUUUGAGGAAGCCCAUUGUUGGAAUAUACAAGCCAAGUUAUAUAAAGAAAAUGCCCACUAGUAUAUGAAAGUGACAACAUAGGAGACAAUCUAUAUGAAGAACAUGGUGCUACACUGAAGCACAAGUGUGGAAAAAGGAUAGUAACAUUGCCCCUUUUCUUUUUCUUUUUAUUAUUUUUAUUUUUUUCUUUCUCUUUUUUGGUGGGCUUCUUUGGCCCCCUUUUUUUAUUUAGGCUUCUUUGGCCUUUCCUUUUUUUUCUUUUUUUUCUUUUUUUUCUGGAGCAAUGCUCUAUAAUGAUGAUCAUCACACUUUUACUUACUUACAACUCGAUAUUACAACUCGAUACUGGAAGAAAGAUAUGACUCUAUAUGAAUGCUUCCGGCGGUGUACCAGGAUGUGCAAUGAUCUAGCGUAGCAAUGACAUCAAAAAUGGACAAGCCAUGAAAACAUCAUGCUAGCUAUCUUACGAUCAUGCAAAGAAAUAUGACAAUGAAUGCUCAAGUCAUGUAUAUGAUGAUGAUGGAAGUUGCAUGGCAAUAUAUCUCGGAAUGGCUAUGGAAAUGCCAUGAUAGGUAGGUAUGGUGGCUGUUUUGAGGAAGAUAUAAGGAGGCUUAUGUGUGACAGAGCAUAUCAUAUCACAGGGUUUGGAUGCACCAGCGAAGUUUGCACCGACUCUCGAGGUGAGAAAGGGCAAUGCACGGUACCGAAGAGGCUAGCAAUGAUGGAAAGGUAGAAGUGCGUAUAAUCCAUGGACUCACAUUAGUCAUAAAGAACUCAUAUACUUAUUGCAAAAGUUUAUUAGCCCUCUAAGCAAAGUACUACUACGCAUGCCCCUAGGGGGAUAGAUUGGUAGGAAAAGACCAUCGCUCGUCCCCGACCGCCACUCAUAAGGAAGACACUCAAAGAAACACCCCAUGCUUCCAAUUUGUCACACAACGGUUACCAUACGUGCAUGCUACGACACAUGCAAACCUCAACACAAGUGUCUCUACAAUCCACAACCACCCACUAGCAUGACUCUAAUAUCACCAUCUUUAUAUCGCAAAACUAUUGCAAGGAAUCAAACAUAUCAUAUUCAGCAAUCUACAAGUUUAUGUAGGAUUUUAUGACUAACCAUGUGAAUGGCCAAUUCCUGUCAUCUCUCUAAAAAGAUAUAAGUGAAGCAAGAGAGUUUAAUUCUUUCUACAAAAGAUAUUCCCAUGCUCUAACAAAUAUAAGUGAAGCAAAAGAGAAUUCUACAAAUGGCGGUUUUCUAUGUGAAGAGAAACAGGCAAUCCAAACUUCAAAUGAUAUAAGUGAAGCACAUGAAGAAUUCUAUAAAGCCACACUCAAAGGAUUUAAGUGAAGUGCAAUGAGAAUUCUAUAAAACAACCAAAGACUAUCUCAUACCAGCAUGGUCCAUAAAAUAAAAAUGAAAACUAAAUGCAAAAAUACGCUCCAAAACUUGCACAUAAUGCAUGAACGAAACGAAUUCGAAAACAUAUCGAUACUUAUUGAAGAAAGAGGGGAUGCCUUCCGGGGCAUCCCCUAGCUUAGACGCUUGAGUAUCCUUGAAUAUUUACUUGGGGUGCCUCGGGCAUCCCCAAGCUUGAGCUCUUGCCUCUCUUCCUUUUCCUCAUAUCGAGACCUCCUCUUUUAACACUUCAUCCACACAAAACUUCAACAGAAAACUCGGUAAGAUCCGUUAGUAUAAUAAAGCAAAUCACCACUAUAAGUACUGUUGCAAACCAAUUCAUAUUUUGUUUUUGCAUUGUGUCUACUUUAAUAUAGCUUUUUCAUGGCUUAAUCCACUGAUAUAAAUUGAUAGAUUCAUCAAAACAAGCAAACUAUGCAUCAAAAACAGAAUCUGUCAAAAACAGAACAGUCUGUAGCAAUCCAAACAUCCACCAUACUUCUGUUACCCCAAAAAUUCUACCACAAUUAUGAAAAAUACAAAAGUUGUAUAUAAAGACAGUGCAAAAAGAAUCAGAACCAAUUGACGUUCCAGUUGAAAAUGUAAAAUCGCGCACUACAGCUAAAGUUUCUGUCCUGCACCGUACAAACCAACAAGCAUUGUAAACAUCCUAAAGGCAAACCUUAGCACAUUAUUUUUAUAAUACAAUGGAAUUGUACAAGGGGAUAAUUAUUUUUAAUGAAAAGUUUCUGUAAUCAAGAUUCACAAAGUUUCCAUGAGCAUGAACAAAGUUCAAGGAGCUCUCCCACUUCAACAAUGCUUGUCUUUCUCACUUUCAUUUUCCUUUUUGAAAAGUUUUUAGGUUCCCCUCUUUAUUUAUUUUUUUGUUUUUAGACUAUAUGAAAGCACUCAACAGAAAUAAAUGACUCCCUAAAACUUUCGGGUUGUCUCCCUGGCAGCACUUUCUUUAAAGCCAUUAAGCUAGCCAUAUAGUGCUCAAGUAAUGAAUCCACCUGGAUCCCAAGGUAUGUCAAAGCCAAUUUUAAUUAACAAUGAUUUGUAAUUUAGUAGUGAGCACAAAGUAACAUAUAUCAAGCAACAACAAAGUCUAACUCUCUUCCUAUGCAUCGGCAUGUCAUAAAAGAACAAUUCAUGCACACCAAGUAAAGGCCAAUGCAUAGUAUAAGCAGUUUCGUGCAAUUCUAUCAUGUUGGAAACAUAGAGAGGUGGAGAAAUAGUUCCUCUCUCAUAAUAAUUGCAAGUAGGAGCAGCAAGCACAUGCAUAUUAUAUUCAUCAAAAUCAUCAUGUGCAAUGGUAAAAGGCAACCCAUCAAUAUAAUCCUUAAUAAGCACAAACUUCUCCGAUAUAGUGUAGUUUGGAGAAUUCAAAAAGAUAAUAGGACUAUCAUGCGUGGGUGCAAUAGUAAAAAUUUCAUGUUUAACAUAAGGAUCUAUAGCAAGUUCAUCUCCAUAAGCAUAACUCAUAUUGGCAUCUUGGCCACAAGCAUAGCAAGCAUAGCAAGCAUCAUCAAAAAGGGAUAUUUCAAACAAAUUCAAGGGAUCAUAGCAAUCAUCAUAGCAAUCAGCCUUCGGUAAGCACGAAGGGGAAUAAAAUAAUGUAUGAGUUGGAGGGUUACUCUCAUUAGAAGGUGGGCACGGGUAGCUAAUCCGCUCUUCCUCCUUUUGUUCUUCGCUCUCCUCAUCAUCUUUUUCAUCCAAUGAGCUCACAGUUUCAUCAAUUUCUUCUUCCAUAGCUUCCUGCAAAAUAUUAGUCUCUUCUUGGACAGCGGAGACUUUCUUCAUAAAAGCAUUAAUAUAGUAAAUGUAUUCAUAAUUUUCACAGCAAUAUCUAAAUAUAGCAAGAUUUUCAGGCCUAUAAACAUCAUCAUCUAAAGCUUCGUAUUUUUCAAACAAAGAUUCAAUUUCAUAAGCAGCCUUAAAAGCAACAAAUUCUACUAUUUGUUCCACAUCAUAGUAAUCAUAUAUACCAUUAGCAUAAGAAGCUAAGGUUUCAUUAUCAUUAAAUUCGCAUGAAAAGGGAAGGUGUGGAGCCUUCAUCCUAGAGCAACAAGUAAUAUCAUAUCUCAAGCAUAGAUCCCGGGCAUACCAACGCAACAUAAUAAAUUGAUCCCAUAAUAGUUUCCCUUUUUGUGUCGAAUGAUAAUCCCUAAAGUAUUCACGUUGAUCCAACGUGUCUCCCAUUAUAAAGUUGAAUGGGGUUUUCUCAGGAUUAUCAAAGUAGUACAUAAUAUCGUUCACAUAAUGAGAAUCGGGGGUUUUAGGAGUUACCCCAUCUACAUGAUUAGCAAGUACAUCUAAUUUUUUUGGUAUUUUGCGUUCCAUAUCCAUAACUAAAGAUAGUGAACAACUAAGAACAGCAAAUAAAAAUUACUUAAUGAUAAAGCAAACAAGCACACACGAGAAUAUUCACCCCACGCUAUGACUCCCCAGCAACGGCGUCGGAAAAAGGUCUUGAUAACCCACAAGUGUAGGGGAUCGCAACAAUUUUCGAUAAUUAAGAGUGUCGAACCCAACGAGGAGCUAAAGGUAUAGUAAAUAUUCCCACAAGUUCUAUCGACCACCGAUACAACUCUACGCACGCUUGACGUUCGCUUUACCUAGAACAAGCAUGAAACUAGAAGUACUUUGUAGGUGUGAUAGGAUAGGUUUGCAAGAUAAUAAAGAACGCGUAAAUAAAAAGUAGGGGUUGUUGAUAUAAAGAUGCAAUAAAGUAAAUAUAGCGAGUGUGGAAAAGUGGUGGUAGGAGUUGUGAAAUUGUCCCUAAGCAAUUGACUAUGUUACUAGACCAAUAAUCACUAUUGCAAUUCUAUUUAAGGGAGAGGCAUAAGCUAAUAUACUUUCAUUACUUGGAUCAUAUGCACUUAUGAUUGGAAAUCUAGCAAGCAUCCGCAAAUACUAAAGAUUCAUUAAGGUAAAACCCAACCAUAGCAUUAAAGUAUCAAGUCCCCUUUAUCCCAUAUGCAACAAUCCCCAUACUCGGGUUUGUGUUUCAGUCACUCACGCAACCCACUACAAGCGAAUCAUAAACGCACUGCAACACCCUACAGCGGGAAUCCCUCACGCUUGCACGACACGGAGGGCACCAUAGGACAGCACCAAUAAUAAAACAUGCAACUCAAACCAAUCAUAGCAAUUCAUCAAUCACCAAUAGGACAACGAAAAUCUACUCAGACAUCAUAGGAUGGCAACACAUCAUUGGAAAAUAAUAUGAAGGAUAAAGCACCAUGUUCAAGUAGAGGGUACAGCGGGUUGCGGGAGAGUGGACCGCUGGAUAUAGAUGGGGGAAGGUGAUGGAGAUGUUGGUCAAGAUGACGGCGGUGUUGGUAAAGAUCGCGGUGAUGAUAAUGGCCCCCGGCAGCGCUCCGGCGCCACCGGAAGCAAGGGGAGAGAGGUCCCCUUCUUCUUCUUCUUCUUCCUUGACCUCCUCCCUAGAUGGGAGAAGGGUUUCCCCUCUGGUCCUUGGCUCCCAUGGCGUGGGAGGGGCGAGAGUCCCUCUGAGAUUGGAUCUAUCUCUCUGUUUCUGCGUUUUGUGUUUCUGCCCCUUCACCGUUUCCUUUAUAUCUGGAGAUCCGUAACUCCGAUUGGGGUGAAUCUUUCGCCCAGAUUUUUCUCGUAAAAUUAACUUUAUUGCGGCAAAAGAAGGGCGUCAACCACCUUAUGGGUGGCCCACGAGAGUCCAGAGCGCGCCCAGGGGGGAGGGCGCACCCCUGUCUCGUGGCGACCUCGGACACCGUUUCGCGUUGAUUCUUCCUCCGGAAAAUCCCAAAUAUUCCAAAAUAAUUCUCCGUCCGUUUUUAUCCUGUUUGGAUUCCGUUUGAUAUUGGUUUUCUGCGAAACAUAAAACAUGCAACAGACAGGAACUGGCACUGGGCACUGGAUCAGUAUGUUAGUCCCAAAAAUAGUAUAAAAAGUUGCCAAAAGUAUAUGAAAGUUGAAGAAUAUUGGCAUGGAACAAUAAAAAAGUAUAGAUACGACGGAGAUGUAUCACCGAACAAGUAUCAAAUACCCAGGGGCCACUGUAAACACUAGUAAGGUACACAUGAAUAACAUGUAUAUCAAAUAUACCCUUGUUCACUUUGUCAUCCUUCUUAUCCACCAAAUAUUCAGGGCAUUUCCGCUUCCAGUGACCAUUUCCUUUGCAGUAGAAGCACUAUGCUCCAGGCUUUGGUUCAGCUUUGGGCUUAUUCACGGGAGUGACAACUUGCUUGCCAUUCUACUUGAAGUUUCCCUUUCUUUCCCUUUGCCCUUUUCUUGAAACUAGUGGUCUUGUCAAUCAACACUUGAUGCUUUUUCUUGGUUUCUACCUUCAACGAUUUCAACAUCACGAAGAGCUCGGGAAUCAUUUUCGUCAUCCCUUGCAUACUAUAGUUCAUCACGAAGUUCUAGUAACUUGGUGAUGGUGACUAGAGAACUCUGUCAAUCGCUAUCUUAUCUGGAAGAUUAACUCCCACUUGAUUCAAGCAAUUGUAGUACCCAGACAAUCUGAGCACAUGCUCACUAGUUGAGAAAUUCUCCUCCAUCUUUUAGCUAUAGAACUUGUUGGAGACUUCAUAUCUCUCAACUCGGGUAUUUUCUUGAAAUAUUAACUUCAACUCCCGGAACAUCUCAUAUGGUCCAUGAUGUUCAAAACGUCUUUGAAGUCCCGUUUCUAAGCUGUUAAGCAUGGUGCACUAAGCGAUCAAGUAGUCAUCAUAUUGAGCUAGCCAAACGUUUAUAAUGUCUGCAUCUGCUCCUGCAAUAGGUCUGUCACCUAGCGGUGCAUCAAGAACAUAAUUCUUCUGUGCAGCAAUGAGGAUAAACCUCAGAUCACGGACCUAGUCUGCAUCAUUGCUACUAUCAUCUUUCAACUUAGUUUUCUCUAGGAACACAUAUAAAACAUAGGGAAGCAACAAUGCGAGCUAUUGAUCUACAACAUAAUUUGCAAAAUACUAUCAGGACUAAGUUCAUGAUAAAUUAAAGUUCAAUUAAUCAUAUUACUUAAGAACUCCCACUUAGAUAGACAUCCCUCUAAUCAUCUAAGUGAUCACGUGAUCCAAAUCAACUAAACCAUGUCUGAUCAUCACGUGAGAUGGAGUAGUUUUCAAUGGUGAACAUCACUAUGUUGAUCCUAUCUACUAUAUGAUUCACGCUCGACCUUUCGGUCUCAGUGUUCCAAGGCCAUAUCUGCAUAUUCUAGGCUCGUUAAGUUUAGCCUGAGUAUUCUGCGUGUGCAAAACUGGCUUGCACCCGUUGUAGAUGGACGUAGAGCUUAUCACACCCGAUCAUCACGUGGUGUCUGGCACGACGAACUUUGGCAACGGUGCAUACUCAUGGAGAAUACUUUUAUCUUGAAAUUUAGUGAGAGAUCAUCUUACAAUGCUACCGUCAAUCAAAGCAACAUAAGAUGCAUAAAAGAUAAACAUCACAUGCAAUCAAUAUAAGUGAUAUGAUAUGGCCAUCAUCAUCUUGUGCUUGUGAUCUCCAUCUCCGAAGCACCGUCAUGAUCACCAUCGUCACCGGCGCGACACCGUGAUCUCCAUCAUAGCAUUGUUGUUGUCUCGCCAACUAUUGCUUCUACGACUAUCGCUACCGCUUAGUGAUAAAGUAAAGCAAUUACAGGGUGAUUGCAUUGCAUACAACAAAGCGACAACCAUAUGGCUCCUGCCAGUUGCCGAUAACUCGGUUACAAAACAUGAUCAUCUCAUACAAUAAAAUAUAGCAUCAUGCCUUGACCAUAUGACAUCACAACAUGCCCUGCAAAAACAAGUUAGACGUCCUCUACUUAGUUGUUGCAAGUUUUACGUGGCUGCUACAGGCGGAGCAAGAACCGUUCUUACCUACGCAUCAAAACCACAAUGAUAGUUCGUCAAGUUAGUGUUGUUUUAACCUUCUCAAGGACCAGGCGUAGCCACACUCGGUUCAACUAAAGUUGGAGAAACUGACACCCGCUAGUCACCUGUGUGCAAAGCACGGCGGUAAAACCAGUCUCGCAUAAGCGUACGCGUAAUGUCGGUCCGGACCGCUUCAUCAACAAUACCGCCGAACCAAAGUAUGACAUGUUGGUAAGCAGUAUGACUUGUAUCGCCCACAAUUCACUUGUGUUCUACUUGUGCAUAUAACAUCUACGCAUAAAAGCUGACUCUGAUACCACUGUUGGGGAACGUAGUAAUUUCAAAAAAUUUCCUACGCACACACAAGAUCAUGGUGAUGCAUAGCAACGAGAGGGGAGAGUGUGUCCAUGUACCCUCGUAGACCGAAAGCGGAAGUGUUAGCACAACGCGGUUGAUGUAUUCGUACGUCUUCACGAUCCGACUGAUCAAGUACCGAAUGCACGACACCUUUGAGUUCAGCACACGUUCAACUCGAUGACGUCCCUCGAACUCCGAUCCAGCCGAGCUUUGAGGGAGAGUUCCGUCAGCAUGACGGUGUGCUGACGAUGAUGAUGUUCUAUCGACGCUGGGCUUUGCCUAAGCACCGCUACGGUAUUAUUGAGGUGGAAUAUGAUGGAGGGGGGCACCGCACAUGGCAAAGAGAUCAAUGAUCAAUUGUUGUGUCUAGAGGUGCCCCCCUGCCCCUGUAUAUAAAGGAGGGAGGGAGAGGCCGGCCCUAGAGGGGGGGCGCCAAGUGUGGGGAGUCCUACUAAGACUCCCAAGUCCUAGUAGGAUUCCCCGCUCCUUUCCGGAGUAGGAGAGAAGGACAGAGGGGGAGAGGGAGAAGGAAAAGGGGGCUGCACCCCUUGUCCAAUUCAGACCUGAGGGGGGUGGGCGCCCCCUUCCUUUUGGCCUCUCUCCUCUAUUCCCGUAUGGCCCAAUAAGGCCCAUAUACUCCUCAGUGUAUUCCCGUAACUCUCCGGUACUCCAAAAAAUACCCGAAUCACUCGGAACCUUCCCGAAGUCCGAAUAUAGUCGUCCAAUAUAUCGAUCUUUACGUCUCGAGCAUUUCGAGACUCCUUGUCAUGUCCUUGAUCUCAUCCGGGACUCCGAACUACCUUCGGUACAUCAAAACACAUAAACUCGUAAUAUAACCGUCAUCGAACUUUAAGCGUGCGCACCCUACGGGUUCGAGAACUAUGUAGACAUGACCGAAACACGUCUCCGGUCAAUAACCAAUAGCAGAACCUGGAUGCUCAUAUUGACUCUCACAUAUUCUGCGAAGAUCUUUAUCGGUCAAACCGCAUAACAACAUACGUUGUUCCCUUUGUCAUCGGUGUGUUACUUGCCCGAGAUUCGAUCGUUGGUAUCUCAAUACCUAGUUUAAUCUCGCUACCGGCAAGUCUCAUUACUCGUUCCGUAAUACAUCAUACUGCAACUAACUCAUUAGUUACAAUGCUUGCAAGGCUUAUAGUGAUGUGCAUUACCGAGUGGGCCCAGAGAUACCUCUUCGACAAUGGGAGUGACAAAUCCUAAUCUCGAAAUACGACAACCCAACAAGUACCUUCGGAGACACCUGUAGAGCACCUUUAUAAUCACCAAGUUAUGUUGUGACGUUUGGUAGCACACAAAGUGUUCCUUCGGUAAACGGGAGUUGCAUAAUCUCAUAGUUAUAGGAACAUGUAUAAGUCAUGAAGAAAGCAAUAGCAACAUACUAAAUGAUCAAGUGCUAAGCUAACGGAAUGGGUCAAGUCAAUCACGUCAUUCUCCUAAUGAUGUGAUCCCGUUAAUCAAAUGACAACUCAUGUCUAUGGUUAGGAAACUUAACCAUCUUUGAUUAACGAGCUAAUCAAGUAGAGGCAUACUAGUGACACUAUGUUUGUCUAUGUAUUCACACAUGUAUUAUGUUUCUGGUUAAUCCAUUUCUAGCAUGAAUAAUAAACAUUUAUCAUGAAAUAAGGAAGUAAAUAAUAACUUUAUUAUUGCCUCUAGGGCAUAUUUCCUUCACCGACUACGGAUGAAACACAAACAGAAACUCAAACGACAUCCACCCUGCUAGCCCAGGCUGCGACCAGGAACCUAACCCCUGAACGAAGAAGAAGUAGAAGAAGAACUUCAAAACAAGUAAGCAUCGCUCUCGCGUCAUGAUCAUCAUGUUACCUGUACCUGCAACUAUUGUUGUAGUAAUCUGUGAGCCACAAGGACUCAACAAUCCCAUUACCAUGGGUAUCAAGACUAGCAAAGCUUAAAGGGUAUGGAAUGGAUAAGUGGCAAGGUUGCAGCAACGACUAAGCAUGAUAUGGUGCCUAACUUACGAAUACAAGAGUAAGGUGGGAAGCUACGCAAACGGUCACAAACUACUUACGUCCAAACAUAACCCAAACCAUGUUCACUUCCCGGACUCCGUCGAGAAGAGACCAUCAUGGCUACACACACGGUUGAUGCAUUUUAAUUAAGUCAAGUGUCAAGUUCUCUACAACCAGAUAUUAACAAAUUCCCAUCUGCCUCAUAACCACGAGCACGGCUCUCGAAAGUUUAAUCCCUGCAGGGGUGUCCCAACUUAGCCCAUUACAAGCUCUCAUGAUCAACGAAGGAUAUUCCUUCUUCCCGGAAGACCCGAUCAGUCUCGGAAUCCUGGUUACAAGACAUUUCGACAAUGGUAAAACAAGGCCAGCAAGACCACCCGACUGUGCCGACAUAGGAGCUGCACAUAUCUCGUUCUCAGGGCGCACCCGAUGAGACAUCCUACGAGUAAAACCAACCCUCAAGUUUUCCCGAGGUGGCCCCGCAGUCUACUCGGUUCGGACCAACAUUUAAAGAAGCACUGGACCGGGGGGGGUUAAAUAAAGAUGACCCUCGGGUUUAUAACUCCCAAGGGAAAGUUAGUAGGUUAUUAGGCAAAUGUAAAGCCAAGGUUGGGCCUUGGUGGAAGAGUUUUAUUCAAAGCGAACUAUCAAGGGGUUCCCAUAAACCCGACCGCGUAAGGAACGCAAAAUCAAGGAACAUAACACCGGUAUGACGGAAACUAAGGUGGCAAGAGUGGAACAAAACACCAGGCAUAAGGCCGAGCCUUCCACCCUUUACCAGGUAUAUAGAUGCAUUAAUUAAAUAAGAGAUAUUGUGAUAUCCCAAAAUAAUCCAGUUCCAACAUGGAGCAAUCUUCAACUUCACCUGCAACUAACAAUGCUAUAAGAGGGGCUGAGCAAAAGCGGUAACUUAGCCAAGCAACGACUUGCUAGGAAGGGUGAAAAGGUUAGAGGCUGACAUGACAAUUUGGGCGGCUUGAAAAACAAGUGAUAGGUAGCGCAGCAUAGCGAUAGAACGAAGCAACUAGCAUAGCAAUGAUAGUAGUGAGAUCCAGGGUAACGGUCAUCUUACUUGAAAUCUCGCUAGGAAGAACAAUGAGUCCAUGAAGAAUACGAACGGACAAAGACGAACCAAGUGUAGUCGAACGAAUCCUCACAAUUGCAACGAAAUAGGAACUAUCGAGAAGAAGCACAACCGGAAAGAAGCAAACAACGUGGUAAACACACAACACAUAUACAUGACAUGAUGCUCAACCAAUUAUGAUGCAUGACAAGGGUACAUGAUGCUACUCGUGGCAAGAUAUGAUGCAUACAAGAACAACACAUCCAAGCAAGUUUAAAUGAGGCCGGGACAACAUAUAACCAAUCCGGUAAGUCCCCAAAUGCAAAUUUCGAAACUAGUCCAGAUUUGAAUAAAUCAUAUGUUCAAGUAGUUAAACAGCAAGUUAAUAUUCACCAUAAUGAUCUACAUGAAAUUCUAUUCAAGUUACAUAUAAAUUUCAUUCAAUUCGGAGCUACGACCUAGAAGAAAUGAGCAAAACAAGUCAAACAUGGCAUUGAUGCAAAAUACAUUCAAACAUCAAGUAAACACUCUCAAAACAAGGAUGCAACAUGAUAAGAUGAAACUACAUGCAAAAUCAAGCAAGUUUCAUAUAGAGCAUGCUCAAAAUGGAGCAACGGUGCAACACAUACACUCCAAACAAGAUAUAACAACAAUCUGCCCAAAAUAGCAAGUAGGCACUUUGCAAACAUCAAAAUAACAUGCUACAGGAAUCAUAUGAGCACAAACUUGACAUGCAAUUCAUUUACAGAUAACAUACUUCAAAUAUCAUUAAGGUUCAGGUUCAUAGGCAUCAAGAUUAAACCAAUAUGAUCAAUGCAAAAUGCAACUUUAUAACACAGGAGCAUAUACAUGAGCAGAGUUAAUAUGAUGACAUGUUGGAGGUAUGAAACAAAGAUGCUACAACAACUAUACAUGGCAACCAAGGGAAUGGCAUCAAAUUAUAAAUAAUAAAGAGAAAAUAACAUCAGGGCAUCAUAUACAUAAGGCUCAUGGAUUAGUGGGAACCAACAAGACAAGAUUGAAUGUUGAAACAGUUUCAGCAAGUGUAAAACAGCAACAUUAUGAUAGCAUGUUUACAAGCAUGGAACAAAGGCAUAUGAUAACCAAAAUUAUCAAACAUGGCAUUAGAACAAAGUACUCAUAGAAUUCUUCAAAACAUGUAAUUGGAUCAUCUCCAAAAGAGGCAUUAAUUAAUUAAUAUCAUGCUCACAACAAGGCAUCAUGAAGUUAACAGAAAACUGGAACAAUAUAUAGGCAUGUUCAUGGCAAUGAAAACAUAUGCUACAUGACAUGUAUAGGACAUAAAAAUGCAUUGAAAGAUAGAGCAUAAAAUGGGCAUCAAAACAUGUCAACUAAGCAUCUCCAGAUUAUGCAUGGAUUAAAUGGUAGCAUCAAGCAAAGAUGGCAUCAUGAUAUAACAGAAACAGACUUGACAGGAAGUUAACAGCAAGUAGCCAACUUCACAAGUUUGAUGCACUCACUACAGGGCAUAACAAAAUACAUGGAGUGCAACCCUGUAAAUAUGGCAUGAAGAUUCUCCUAAAACAUGUAUACAUGAUGCUAAAAAAAAUCACACAAAAAUGAUAUAAAAAUGAUAAAUAGGCAAGUUAUAACAGUUUCCAGCAGUUAAAAGCAACAUGCACUUUUGCAACAGGGAUUAAGAUAUAAAGAUGCACCCUAACAUGAAUUAAAAGCACACCAAUAUGUAGGGCAUGAAGAGCAGAACAUGUGCAUAUUAAGAUCAUCAUCAUAGGAUCAACAGGGACAAAGUUAUAUCACUCACAAGAUGCAUACAUGAUAUUAACAAUCAGCAGAUUCCAGCAGUUUAUAUUACUUAGCAGUCUUGCAACGAACAUUAAGGCAUCAAUAUGAAUAGUAACAUGAAUGCAAACUACUCCAUCAUGAAUAGAACUCAAGUGAUGAACAUUUUGACAUAUCAUGCACUCCAAACGGAGAAACGAGCACAAAGUUAUGAUAUGGCAAAGAUGCAUACAUAAUGUUUGAAAACUGGGACUUAGUGAGAAUAUACCCUCGCGAAAACGGGACGAGGAGGGCCCGGGACGGAGAGAUCCGGGACGGUGCACGUGUUUGGUUGGCGGGACGGGGUCGGCUAGGGUCGUGGUGGUGCAGAUCGAGCUCCGGCGAGGUGGAGCUCCGGUGACGGCAACGUGGCGAGGAUCUGUGGCGAUGGGGGUCGUCGGGGUUGGAUCCAGGCAGGGAGGGGCCACUACGGCCGGAUCCGUGCGUCGCCGGUGGCUGGGAGGCGGCGGACUGGGCACGGGUCGAUGGCGAGCUGUAGGGAGCGGGGCGGCACGCGCGAAGGAGCGGCGAGGCGCGGCGGCGGCGCGCGGCGAUGCAGGCGGCGGGGUUGGACGGUGCUGGNNNNNNNNNNNNNNNNNNNNNNNNNNNNNNNNNNNNNNNNNNNNNNNNNNNNNNNNNNNNNNNNNNNNNNNNNNNNNNNNNNNNNNNNNNNNNNNNNNNNNNNNNNNNNNNNNNNNNNNNNNNNNNNNNNNNNNNNNNNNNNNNNNNNNNNNNNNNNNNNNNNNNNNNNNNNNNNNNNNNNNNNNNNNNNNNNNNNNNNNNNNNNNNNNNNNNNNNNNNNNNNNNNNNNNNNNNNNNNNNNNNNNNNNNNNNNNNNNNNNNNNNNNNNNNNNNNNNNNNNNNNNNNNNNNNNNNNNNNNNNNNNNNNNNNNNNNNNNNNNNNNNNNNNNNNNNNNNNNNNNNNNNNNNNNNNNNNNNNNNNNNNNNNNNNNNNNNNNNNNNNNNNNNNNNNNNNNNNNNNNNNNNNNNNNNNNNNNNNNNNNNNNNNNNNNNNNNNNNNNNNNNNNNNNNNNNNNNNNNNNNNNNNNNNNNNNNNNNNNNNNNNNNNNNNNNNNNNNNNNNNNNNNNNNNNNNNNNNNNNNCCGGGGCUGGGCCCGGUGGGCCGCGGUGGCAGGGACGGCGCAGGGCAGACGCGUGGCGGCACGAGGUUAGCGCAGGAGGCGGCGGAGCUGAUGUGGUGGCCUCCGAUUGGCCAGAGUGAGGUGGCCGGCGGUAGUGGGCAUGUCCGGUGCAGCGCGGACGCGUCCGGAUGCGAGGAGGAUGAAGUAGACUAGGGUUUCGUUUGCGAAAAUGGAAGGGGAGGCCUUUAUAUAGAUAGAGGGAGUUAGGAGAGUCCAAAUGAGGUGUGGUUUUGCCCACACGAUCGUGAUCCAAUGAAGGAGAGCAUGGAGGGGGCUUAGAUGGGUUAGUGGGCUAUUUUGGAGGGUUGCUGGGCUGUAAAGAGAAGGGGGUUUCACGGUUAACUCGGUUAACCGUUGGGGCAUCAAACGAUCUCCAAAUGGAACGAAAUUUGACAUGCGGUCUACCGGUGAUAUACCAAGACCACUCAGCAAAUCUCGUCCCAUUCCGAGAAUUUUUUCUGCGGCUCACAAAACGAGAUCUGGGAGGUGCCGCGGGCGCGUGCGAGUGUGGUUGGGCUCAAAACAGACAACGGAGAGAACCGGGGGAACCCGAACGGAUGCAAGUUUUGAAAAACAUGCAGAUGAAAUGCAGAUGAUGACAUGGCAAGAUGCAACACACAAGCAACUGGCAACGACGGUGAAUAACUGGAAGACACCUGGCGCAUCAGUCUCAGGGCGUUACACCUGCGCACCCACAAACGACUGGCUUGGCGUCGCCCUAUCCCGGCGCCGUCCACUCCCAUGGAGUGCGCGGCCUUUAGAGAAUCUCCAGCCGGUCGGCCCCACAAGGCGCCGAAAAAGAGCGGCCUGGUGGUGAGCCGGUGGUAUACUCGGCGCUCGGGCCGGUUGGGCACCAAGUCAUCGCCCCAGGUCGCCCCCAGGCGCCAAUUUCGGCCCAGUGUUCGUCCCAAUUGUGUCCAAAAACGGCCCGAUAUCUGCGUGAAUUGACCCAUAUUCGGCGCGGUUCGGCGUGUUUCGGUGUGAAUUUUCGCAUACAAAUAGCAAACAAUUAGUUCGUCACAUAGUUCCGCAUGGUUCGGCGUGUUUUGGCGUGUUUCAUCACAUAAAUCAAAUAGUUCAACAAAUAGUUCAAUACAAAUUAUAUAUUUUAACAAAUAAAAACUCAAGUUUCAUUACACGUCAUUCCCGCGUCACCCUGGCCUCGCCCUUGAGCCUCCAUAGGUGCUCCACCAGAUCGUGUUGCAGUUCUUGAUGCACCUGUGGGUCUCGGAUCUCCUGACGCAUAUUGAGAAAGUCAGUCCAGGUUGCCGGUAGCUGGUGAUCAACUUGGGCAAGAGGACCCUGCCUGUAAUAUGGUUCAGUGUCAAAGACUGGCUCUUCCUGCUCGCUCUCAAUGAUCAUGUUAUGCAAGAUGACACAGCAAGUCAUGAUCUCCCAUAUUUGAUCUUUCGAUCAAGCCUGGGCAGGGAACCGGACAACAGCAAAUCGAGAUUGGAGCACACCAAAUGCCCGCUCGACAUCCUUCCUGCAAGCCUCCUGAACCUUCACAAACCAGGCGUUCUUGCCUCCUGGCACAUGGUUCGAGAUGGUCUUCACAAAUGUCGACCAUCUCAGAUAGAUGCCAUCAGCUAGAUAGUACCCCUUGUUGUAGUGCCGUCCAUUGACCUCGAAGUUCACCGGAGGAGAAUGACCUUCAACAAGCUUGGCAAAGACAAGGGAGCACUGCAGGACGUUGAUAUCAUUGUGAGUUCCUGGCAUCCCAAAGAAAGAGUGUCAAAUCCAGAGGUCCUGUGUGGCCACUGCCUCAAGUACCACACUGCAACCGCCUUUGGCGCCUUUGUACAACCCCUGCCAAGCAAAUGGACAGUUCUUCCAUUUCCAAUGCAUGCAGUCAAUGCUUCCAGACAUCCCAGGAAAUCCUCUUGCUGCAUUCUGUGCCAGGAUCCAAGCAGUGUCUUCCGCAUUGGGUGUUCACAAGUAUUGCGGUCCAAACACUGCCACCACUGCCCUGCAGAACUUGUAGAAACACUAAAUGGUGGUGGACUCGGCCAUGCGCCCAUAGUCGUCGAGUGAAUAACCGGGAGCUCCGUAUGCAAGCAUCCUCAUAGUUGUCGUGCACUUCUGGAUUGAGGUGAAUCCAAGUGUGCCGGUGCAAUGCAUCUUGCACUUGAAGUAGCUGUCGAACUCCCAGAUGGAAUUCACAAUCCCGAGGAAAAGCUUUCGGCUCAUCCGAUAACGGCGCCAAAAUGUUUUCUCACCGUGCAAUGGAGCGUCGGCGAAGUAGUCCGAGUAGAGCAUGCAGUAGCCUUCCGGACGAUGCCGGUUCUUUUCUUUCACCCGCCCAGGCACCGAGCCACCUCGCCGCGGCUUUCACUGCUCAUGAGUAGGCCACGAGGGCGGCGAGCACCAUGAGAUGCUCCUGCUCCUGGACGUCGGCUUCGGCUUCCUCCUCCAGCAACGCCGCGAGCGCCUCCUCAUCUUAGGAGUCCAUCGCCGGGCCGGGCAAAUCACCGAACACCUUGCGGGAGGUGGGCGCAAACCCGCCAGUGUGCAGGCCCUGCGCGGCCGAAAGGCCGAAAAAGUUGCCCGGACGGCGGCGGAGAGGCUGCCUCGGUGAAACCUCUUUUUUUCCCGAUGGGAAAUGAUCUAUCUAGCUGCGGUGGGCGGUGGACGGCGCCGGGAUCGGCAGGGUGGCGNNNNNNNNNNNNNNNNNNNNNNNNNNNNNNNNNNNNNNNNNNNNNNNNNNNNNNNNNNNNNNNNNNNNNNNNNNNNNNNNNNNNNNNNNNNNNNNNNNNNNNNNNNNNNNNNNNNNNNNNNNNNNNNNNNNNNNNNNNNNNNNNNNNNNNNNNNNNNNNNNNNNNNNNNNNNNNNNNNNNNNNNNNNNNNNNNNNNNNNNNNNNNNNNNNNNNNNNNNNNNNNNNNNNNNNNNNNNNNNNNNNNNNNNNNNNNNNNNNNNNNNNNNNNNNNNNNNNNNNNNNNNCCUAACAAUGUGGCCCUAGGAGCACUUUUCCCUUGCGCCGGAGCCCCCGAGCGCCCCCCAGUGCGCCAGGUUCGGCCUGCGAUCGCCGGGCGCAAAAACGGAUCAAGCCGGUGAAAUUCGGCGUCUUGGGGGCGCGACUGGGGCGUUUUUUGGGGACCGGCGCGGAAAAAACGCCUGGGAAGGGCCUCUUGGGGGCGCGGCUGGGGAUGCUCUUAGACUAGAGGACGCCAUGGGUGCCUUGGUGCUCCCCUGCCAUGGACCCGAUCUGGCUGCGAACUCGCCGCCCCGUGCUUCGGAUCCAGCCGAUCCCGUGCCGCUCAUCCCCUCCUGCCACGGCUCGCGUUGACCUUGAGGAGCCUAGCGUCUCGGCUAGCGGCGGCCCACUAGUGGGGUGGGUCAAGGCUAACUGACUCGCCCCAGCCUACUACGCCAUAGCCAGCCUAGCACGCGAGGCUCUCGCCGGCUAGAUCGAGGGGAUACUUCCUUGUUUGUCAGUCAGCCUAACUGGCUCGACGACCAUCAAAACCCUCCUCCUCCUCGAGGACUCCGGCUCUCUUUGUUACCUUCCCAUCAUGAUGGGUUAAUUCUUUUUUUUUUCCUCUGAUUCUCAUGUCUGGUGAGAAUCUGGGGGACUCGCCCGCAGAUCCCUCUCUGCUCCUCAUUGUUCUCUCCUAUGUAUUUGCAGUCUGAUAUUUUUGAGGAGUCUAAUUGAUAUUAUGGAUAAUUUGCAAUUGUAUAUAAACCGAUGAGUAUCAGUUUAGAGGAGCGAUAUGGGACAAAAAAAAUCAAACGGAAAUGCACGGCCAGACAGAGUUUGCGUGCGUGAUGGGUGGACUGAAACUCUGUUGAGGUGACCAGGGUUGAAUACCAAGAAAUAUAGGGUCCUUUUUUGUAAAACCGAAGCGCUUCUCAGGUAAACACUUAAAAAGGGAGGGCGGGUUAAAUUCUCAUAAACGGAGGGUUUUUUCUGCAAAAAGACCGGCGAUGUACGAUCAGAAGCAAUCGCUGGUUGGUCUAUUAGUAGGUAGAGAUUUAUAAUCUUUUCCCCUCACUUCUGUUUUUGGUUCCAUUUUUCUUUAUAUUUUAAAACAAAAUAGAAACCAAAAAUGGAAUUGUAUUGUUCUUACCUACUCCCUCCGUUCACAAAUAUAGGAUGUUCUAACUUUUUUUGUGAAUCAGAUGUAUACAAACACUUUUUAAGGUGUUUGUUCACUCAUUUCACUCUAUAUAUCGUCCAUAAUGAAAUAUCCAAAUUAUCUUAUAUUUUCUUAUAUUUUAGUACUAUUUGAAUUUCAACAUUUUUCCACGUUGUAUGAACAUAUAUUCAAAUCCUCCAAAAAAAUAUUCAGAUGUGUAUGUAUAUUUCUUGAAAUAUAUGAACUCUUAAACAUAAAUACAUAAACAUAAGGUAUUAUAACCUCACAAAAAGAAAAACGUAAGGUAUUAUACUAUUAUGUAGGAAUAGUUGUUAAAUACAUGAUGGAUAUUUUAUUUCAUCGGUGUGAACAUUUCAAAAUAUAUUUAAACUUCUAAAAAUACACAAAUAUAACUAUAUGUGUAUAUUUUUUUAAAUAUGUGAUUAAGAUUGAUUUAUAUGUAUGAAUAUUUAUAAGGACAUACAUGAAUAUUUCGUUUUUAGAAUAUAAAUGUUAUCGUUGUAUGUCUACUAUCUACCACUUCCUCUGUAUCAAAAUAUACGAAUUUUUUGACACUGUCAUAGUGUCCAAAAAACAUAUUAUAUUUGGAUACGAAGGAAGUACUACUUAUAAAAGCACGAAUUUGGUGAAUAUGAUCUGAGCCAUCUAACCAUCUAUAUCUAACGUCUCACGCUGCUCCCAUGAUGUAUCUACCACAUCAUCAAUAAUUUAGAAACAUGUUAAUUGCAUUAAUUUAAUUUUGAAACGAUAUUAUUUAUAUUAAACAUAAAUUAUGAUUAAUUCUGAAAAUAAUAUUGUUGUCACGGUUACUAGUUUUCCUUUGAGAAAUCUACAUGAUUACUAGUGGCAUGAAAAUUAAGCACUCGCCUCCUACAUGCAAGUGCAACCGGGGGUGUUGGGGCAUUUGCAUUGACUUUCAUGCAUUUUCCAUGUGUUUUUCCUCUUAGUUUUUUUCAUGGUUUCUAUUUCAUUUCCAUGUUUCCUAACUUUUAUGUUUUCCCCUUUUUAUGUUACUACGUUUUAUUUUAUUUUUCAUUUUAAUUUACGGUUCCUUUCCUUUUUCUAUUCUUAAAGAAAUUAAACAUUUUCAAACAAAUACCCUGAUAUUUUUUAAAAUACAUGAACACUUUUCAAGAUUAUUGGAUGUUUAAAAAGUGUGAUUAUUUUUUUAAUAUUGGAGUGCUAACAUAUUUGAUAAUGUGAGCCCCUUCUCAAAAGUUACACGGGCUUUUUCCAAAAACAUGAAAAACUAUUUUUAAUUACAAGUUAUUCGCUAUAUCAUAUCUAUUAUAUCUAAAUAGGAGCCCCCACUUCCUGAUUUCUCUUGACAUGAAACUUAUCCACAUCAACAAUCAACAUGCAGUUUCCACCUCAACAGAUCUACCAUCUCAGCAAAAAAAGAAAAUUCUUUUUCAACGAAACGAAUUGUGAGAUUUUAAUCUCGGUAGUUGUCCCUCUUCGUCUUCUAAUACUAACGAGAUAGUAUAUCAAUCGCAACCGAGACGUAUCUUGCUAACGCUAAUCUUCUCCCAUGAUUUUAUUACGCUUUUCAUUAAUUUAUAUCACAUGCGUUGUUUGUGUCUUUCCCACUCUCCAAACCAUCCCUUGGCUUUCUACAAAUGUGCACAUAAAAGUUCACCUCUUCGUUGCCCCAAUGGUUGGCGUUUCACCCGACCUUGUAAACCCUCGCCACCGUCGGAUUCGAUAGCGAGGAGAUGCGACCACCCAACCAUUGAUGGAUUCGAUGUCGAGGAGACGCGCCAACACCAUAUGCAACCUAAAUCCACCUCCCUUCUCUUGUACUAUCUUCUAUCACUGAUGGAUUCGAUGGCGCGGAGCUACGCCAGGACCAUAUGCAACUAAGCUCUACCGCCUUCACCUCUUUGAUGCCCCGAUCGCAAUGAUGUAGAUUUCGACCACACCGACCCCUGCCACCACCAGAUUCGAUGGUUAUUCUCAUAACAAGGGCUGAGAAGGAUGGUCCAAUUUGAGGCCCUAUUCCGCAUUUGGUCGAUGGAGGUGUGUCGAUCCUUUAGUAUGCAGAUGACACAGUCAUUUUUAUGGAACAUGACCUUCAAAAAGCGAUAAAUAGAAAGUUGACUGUGUGUCUUCUUGAGUAACUUUCGGGUCUACAAUUAAUUUUCAUAAAAGUGAGCUCUUCUGUUUUUAUAAGGCCAAAGAGGAGAGGCUCCGUAGAGGAAUGUUUCUUGUUGUGAGGUGGAUCCCUUUUGUUUACAUACCUCAGAAUUUUCAUUCAUCACUGUAAGCUCGCCAACAAGGAAAGAAAAAGAAUUGAAGACUAUUUUGAAAAGAAGCUCAACAGUUGGAAGGAUAGAUUUUUGUCAUGUGGAGGACAACUUACUCUCAUCAAUGUUGUUCUUACGAACCUAACGGUGUUCAUGCUCUCCUUUUUUGAGGUACCUAAAGUGGUGUUAUAAAAAGCUAGACUUUUACAGAUCUAGGUUCUUGCAAUGCAAGGAGUGAAUACUUAAGUAUAAAAGGGGCGGAGCAGCUCCGCGUUCCAAGCUCGGGGCUCGUCAAUCUGGUGCUCGACAUUGUAAAGGCGGUACGCCCCAUUGUUGAGAACCUUGAUGAUGAUGAAGGGACCUUCCCAAGUAGGAGCAAGCUUGUGUGGCUUUUGCUGAUCCACUCGGAGAACCAAGUCUCCCUCUUGGAAGGCUCGACUCUUCACGUUUUUAGCAUGGAAGCAACGCAAGUCCUGCUGAUAAAUGGUUGAUCGGAUAAAGGCAAUCUCUCUUUCUUCUUCUAGAAGGUCGAUUGCGUCCUGUCGGGCUUGCUCUUCUUCAGCUUCAGUGUAGAGUUUGACCCGAGGUGCGUUGUGAAGCAGGUCACUCGGCAAGACUGCUUCAGCUCCGUAGACCAAGAAGAAUGGAGUUCUCCCAGUCGACCGAUUAGGUCUGGUCCUUAAUCCCCAAAGUACUGACGGAAGUUCGUCGACCCAUGCACCAGCUACGUGCAUGAGAUCGCGCAUUAGUCGGGGUUUCAUCCCUUUGAGAAUUAACCAUUUGCUCGUUAUUCCUGUCCAUUCGACUGGGGGUGAGCGACUGAAGCAUAGUCGACUCAUGUGCCCUGAGACGUGCAGAAGGCUCUGAAUUCCUCGGAAUCGAAGUUCGACCCAUUAUCAGUGAUGAUGCUAUGGGGAACUCCAUAUCUGAAUAUCAACUCCCUGAUGAAGCUGACAGCAGUGCCGGCAUCAAGAUUCUUGAUGGGUUUAGCUUCAAUCCACUUAGUGAACUUGUCGACUGCCACCAGCACAUGGGUGAAGCCGGUUCUGCCUGUUCUUAGUGGUCCAACCAUAUCCAAUCCCCAUACAGCGAAAGGCCAGACGAGUGGGAUGGUCUUCAAGGCUGAGGCGGGCUUGUGUGACAUAUUGGAGUAAAAUUGACAUCCUUCACACUUGUCGACCAUCUCCUUUGCCAUUUCAUUUGCUCUCGGCCAAUAAAAUCCCGCUCGGUAUGCUUUAGCCACAAUGGUCCGAGAAGACGCAUGAUGGCCAUAGGUUCUCGAGUGGAUAUCGUCAAGGAUUAUCCGACCUUCUUCUGGCGUUAUACAUUUUUGACCAACUCCAGUCGCGCUUUCUCUGUACAGCUGUCCCUUUAUCACGGUAAAGGCUUUGGAUCGGCGGACGAUUUGUCGAGCCUCUCCUUCAUCCUCUGGGAGCUCUUUCCUUAAGAUAUACGCGAUGUACGGCACUAUCCAGUCGGGAGUGAUGACCAAUGCUUCCAUGAUCAGGUCGACCACCGCUGGAACUUCUACUUCAGUCGGAUCUGUGACACUUUUUGGCUGCGAAGCUUCUUCGGUAAAAGGAUCUUCCUGAACUGAUGGAGUAUGGAUAUGUUCCAAGGACACAUCACUGGGAAUGGCUUCUCUCUUGGAACCUAUCUUUGCCAAAUCAUCAGCCGCUUGAUUCUUCAGUCGGGGUAUAUGAUGGAGCUCUAACCCUUCAAAUUUCUUCUCCAGCUUUCUUACCGUAUUGCAGUAACCAGUCAUGGUUGGGCUUCUAACAUCCCACUCCUUCAUCACCUGAUUCACCACCAAAUCUGAAUCACCAUAAACCAUAAGGCGACGGACGUCGAGUGAAAUGGCCAUGCGCAACCCAUACUAAAGUGCUUCGUAUUCUACUUCAUUGUUGGAGGAAUCAAAGUGGAUCUGGAGCACAUAUCUGAGCUUAUCUCCUCGGGGGGAAACCAAUACUACCUCAGCACCGGAACCAUUCAACAUCUUAGAACCGUCAAAGAACAUGGUCCAGUGCUCCGAGUGAACUUGAGUAGUUGUUGUUCAAUCCACUCGGCGAUGAAAUCUGCUACUGCUUGGGACUUAAUGGCUUUCUUUGCCUCAAACUUGAUAUCAAGGGGAAGGAGUUCAAUCGCCCACUUUGCCACUCGACCAGUUGCAUCUCUGUUGUGCAAAAUCUCUAAAAAUGGGGCAUCCUGACGACUGUAAUGGAAUGAUCAAAGAAAUAAUGAGCAACCUUCUUCGUGGUCAUGUAAAUCCCAUAUACAAGCUUCUGAUAAUGAGGGUAUCUUUGCUUCGAUGGGGUCAAUACUUCGGAAAGAUAAUAUACUGGGCGCUGAACUUUGAAGGCUUUCCCUUCUUCUUCCCGCUCGACCGUAAGUACUGUACUGACGACUUGUCCUGUGGCUGCAAUGUAAAGCAGCAGAGGCUCUUUGCUGAUUGGAGCAGCAAGCACCGGCUGGGUGGAGAGCAGAGCUUUUAAUUCUGCAAAUGUUGCAUCAGCUUCUGGAGUCCACUCGAACUUGUGUGACUUCUUCAUCAGUCGGUAAAGAGGCAAUGCCUUUUCACCGAGGCGAGAGAUGAAUCGACUUAACGCAGCCAAGCAUCUAGUAAGUUUCUGGACAUCGUGCACACGCACGGGGCGUUUCAUUGGGAGUGUAGUGCCAACUUUUUUUGGGUUGGCGUGGAUUCCUCGUUCGGAAACAAGAAAACCAAGUAACUUUCCGCCAGGAACUCCGAAUGUGCACUUUGAUGGAUUAAGCUUGAUAUCAUACCUCCUGAGAUUGGCAAAUGUUUCAGCGAGGUCAAUCAACUGGUCGGAACCCUUCCGUGAUUUGACCACAAUAUCAUCCAUGUAUGCUUCCAUGUUCCGACCGAUUUGAGUGAGUAAACACUUCUGAAUCAUCCUCAUGAAUGUGGCUCCGGCAUUCUUGAGGCCGAAUGGCAUGGUGACAUAGCAGAAGCAUCCGAAUGGGGUGAUAAAAGCUGUUUUGAUCUCGUCGGGUCCAUAUAGACGGAUCUGAUGAUAACCGGAAUAGGCAUCUAAAAAAGACAGGCGCUCACAUCCCGCAGUCGAGUCGACUAUUUGGUCGAUGCGGGGGAGAGGAAAAUGAUCUUUCGGGCAGGCCCGAUUGAUAUGUUUGAAAUCAAUGCACAUGCGAAGUGACUUGUCCUUCUUGGGGACCAUGACAACAUUGGCAAGCCACUCGGAGUGGUAAAUCUCUUGGAUAAACUCUGCUGCUAAGAGCCGAGCCACCUCCUUGCCAAUGGCUUUUCUCUUCUGGAUGGCGGACCGUCAAAGAUGUUCCUUGACAGGAUUCACCUUUGAGUUGAUGCAUAGAUGAUGCUCAGCCAGCCCCCUGGGAACACCCGGCAUGUCAGCAGGCUUCCAUGCGAAGAUGUCCCAGUUCUCACGGAGGAACUGGAUGAGCGCUUCUUCCUAUUUGGAGUCGAGUGUUGUUGAGAUAUGAGUCGGAGCAGCAUUGGGGUCGGUCGGGUGGAUGUGAAUCGGCUUUGUCUCACCAGACAACUGAAACGCUGAUUCUAUAGCAGGCUUCUUGGCUCGCAACAAAUCACUCGGAUCUGUAGUUUUCUGGUAUUCCUGCAGCUCUACCACUGCCAUCUGAGCAUCGGCGAUCUUUGAGCCCUUCUGAAAGCACACUUCUGCCUUUUUCCGAUUGUCAGUGAUGGUGAUCACACCUUUGGGACCAGGCAUCUUCAAUUUGAGGUACACAUAACAUGGUCGAGCCAUGAAUCGUGCAUAAGCUGGCCUGCCUAAAAUGACCUGAUAAGCACUCUGGAAAUCCACAACUUCAAAUGUUAACUUUUCUUUGCGGAAAUGCUUUGAAUCGCCGAAAACCACAUCAAGAGCAAUUUGGCCGAGUGACUCAGCCUUCUUCCCAGGAAUGACAACAUGGAAACUCAUGUUGCUGGAACUGAGUCUGGACAUCGGAAUGCCCAUUCCCUUCAGCGUCUCCGCAUACAAUAUGUUCAGUCCACUGCCACCGUCCAUCAGAACCUUAGUCAGUCGAGUGCCUUCGGCGACUGGGUCGACCACCAAAGCUUGCCUCCCAGGGGUGGCUAUGUGUGUCAUAUGAUCAGACCGGUCGAAUGUGAUGGCGGUCUGAGACCAUUUCAGAUAACUGGGUGUUGCCGGAGCAACCAUAUUCACUUCCUGGUUGAUAACUUUCAAUCGACUUUUUCUCUCAACAUCAGCAAAAAUCAUCAGGGUGGAAUUGACAUGGGGGUAUCCUUCAUCACUGUCCUCUUUGUCCUCAAUCUUGUCCGACUCCAUUUCUUUAUCCUUGGGCUGUUUCCCUUGAAACUGCUGGAUUAAGUGCCGGCACUGGCGAGUGGUAUGUUUCGGGUAAAUGAAGUUACCCUCUUCAUCUUUCUUCGUGUGGAUGUGGCAUGGCAAAUCCAUCACGUCGUUUCCUUCUUUGUCCUUCACCUUCUUGGGGUUCCAAGAUCCUUUGGGCUUCCCUUUAAACUUGCCCUGAGUCACGGCCAAGGCUUCUCCAGGAGCAGCUGGCUCGGCUUUCCGCUUCUGCUUCUGACUGGAGUUCCCUUUUUCCGACUGGCUCGGCUUGUACUUGCCACUCCUGAGUCGAUCCUCUUCUUCACCAUUGGCAUAUUUGGUGGCAAUCUCCAUCAUUCGACUCAGGGUUAUGUCUCCGGUCCGACCAAACUUCAAACUUAACUCUCUGUUCUUAACGCCUUCCUUGAAGGCACAGACUGCUUGGUGAUCAGAUACGUUCUCCAUCGUAUGAUGCAAUGUGAUCCACCUCUGGAUGUAAUCCCUCAGGGUUUCAUUCGACUUUUGUACGCAAACCUGCAGCUCUGUCAGACCUGUAGGUCGUUUGCAUGUUCCUUCAAAUGUCCUGACAAACACUCGGGCAAGAUCUUCCCAAGUGUAAAUGCUGCUAGGUGCCAACUAAUUCAGCCAGGCUCUGGCCGAGCCCUCCAACAUAAGCGGUAAGUGUUUCAUGGCCACCUCAUCAUUACCACCACCAAUCUGAACAGCCACUCGGUAGUCCUCAAGCCAAGUAUCGGGCUUGGACUCACCAGUGAACUUACUCACCCCAGUCGCUAACCUGAAGUUGGGAGGGAUCACCGCGGCUCUGAUGGCUCUGCUAAAACACUCUGGUCCUGAGACAUGAACUCGGCUGCUGGUGGGCACAUCUCUGUCAUGGCCUUCUCGGUGAGCUCUGUUCCGGUCGACCAGACCUUGCACGAUAAUGGAUCUCGCGUCAAAGCCUGGUUCUCUGGGGUUGACUGGAACCCUUCGCCCAACACUGUGUUGGCGUCUGUCAUCUUGCUGCCGAGGGGCGUAAGACCCACCCCUUGGGGGGGGGAGUGGGCACUCGACGCCGAUCAUCGCGAUCGAAUCGGUCAUCAUACUGAUCACGUCGACCUCCACGUCCUUCAUGCCGCAGAGGUGAUGUUGGGCUAUGGGCCGACUAGACUAUAUUUACAGCGACGGAUUGACUGUCAAUCCAAUUAUGCGACUGCGAUACAGCUGAAUUUUGAUCUCCUGCUGUCCGAAGCAAAUCUCUAAUCUGCAUCAAGCCUCUGCUAGCCUCUGACUGAGAGGGCUGAAUCGACUCCGCUAUAUGGGCUGCAGCUGCCAGAUUCUGAAUUGGGGUUCGAUAUACCUGAGUCGGUGGCGGAAAGAGUUGACGUCGACUGGAGUCUAGAACUCGUUACCGCGCGCGCUCGUCGAGUGCUCGCUGGAGGUUCUCUAGUCGAGUGCGCUCAGCCAAGUUGGCCAAACGCGUGUCCUCCAAGGCGCGAGCCUCGGGGGUUUCUCCUAUGAUAGGAGUAUACAGAGCAUCCAUGUUCCGGCGGCGAAGAUCUUCUCUUUGCAGCGAAGUGAGUGGCUCGGGUUGAUACUCCUCGUGGACCUAAGCUGGGUCGCCUCUGCCGUCCCCUCCGUCGGUGCAGGGGAAGCCGGGAGGACUACGAGGCCCAUUGACCAUCAGGACCUCAGCCGCUGGAUCACUGUUGUCACACUCGGAUGCAGUCUCUACAGAGCCAGUCGACAGAUCGAACAUGCCGUAGAGAGAUUUGUUGGGCUCAAUCGCCGCGACUUGGGUGGUGGCCGAUUGGCGAGCCACUGCGUGUCUCAGCCACCGCUGAAGCCUCGACCGACCAUAGCGCUUGCGCUGGCGGGAGACAGGGAGGGAGGACGACGCAGGGGUCGACCGAUACGGGGCCGACGGUUGCCACAGCAGGACGCCGCGGACACAUGCGCAAAAGUGUGUCGCCCCACGGGCUGGGAGCGCGUCGAUGUCGAGUGGAGCCUUCUGGAGCCAAGCGGAGUCGUCGGCGAUGAACGUGAGCGCGCCGAGACGGAUCUCGCAGCCCUCCACUAAAACUCCGCCAGAAACCAUGGUGAAGGCGAUCGGAACAAUUGCAACUUCUCCAAUAAGUCACUAAGACACCUGCCCCACGGUGGGCGCCAACUGUCGUGGUUCUAAGCCUGACAGUAGAAUAGGGGUAGGUAUGGAGAGGCAAGAUCCUAGCUAUGGAGUAGUUGUAUACGCAAGGGAGUUACGAGUUCAGGCCCUUCUCGGAGGAAGUAACAGCCCUACGUCUCGGAGCCCGGAGGCGGUUGACUGGAUUAUAUGCGUGUGAGUUACAGGGGUGCGAACCCUUCUGCCUGUGGAGGGGGGUGGCUUAUAUAGAGUGCGCCAGGACCCCAGCCAGCCCACGUAACGGAGGGUUCAAUGUACAUAAAGGCCUGGCGUUACUAGUAACACCUUACAUAAAGUGCUAUCAUGGCCAUAAAGAUUACUUAAUAACAAACCGUUUGGGUGCAGAGUGACCCUAGAUCUCCUGGUGGUCGAGUGAGUCUUCAUGGUCGAGUGUCUUCGAGUCCGUCAAGUGGAAUCCUUCCAGGUCGACUGAAAGGCAGUUUCUUCUAGAGAUGUCCUUGGGGAGGGUACCUUGGACAGGUCCAUGACCCUACCCUAGGUACAUGGCUUCAUCACCCACCUUGACUACACGACCAGCCCAGGCACCCCAGCAAACACCCCUUGCCUAGCCCUUGCCGCUCUCCUCAAGUCGCUCACGCGCAUGGCACACCACCUGAAUCUAAACCCAAUUUUUAUUCUCCCGCCACAUAUACUGUUGUAUUGUGUUGAAAUAUGCUAAAGUAUUACUGUUGAAAUAUGCUAUUUUUGCUGCUGAAAUGCUAUUCUUUGUGAUUACUAUUUAUCUAAUGUUUCGCUAUUUAAAUAUGAUGAUUAUGCUAUUGUUGUAAUAUGCUCUAGUUUUUCUUUGAAAUACGGUUGUUUUCAUUGACUGCUCCCGCUGCUUAGAUAUGCCGCUUUUGUCGCUGGUAUUGUUGUAAUAUGAUCUAGUUUUUCUUUGUUUCUAUGUAAGAUCAAUGACAACUUGAAUACUUAUGGACACAAGUUGAAUACUUAUGAACAUCUAGAUGUGGUUGAGCAAAACUAUUUUCCUUUCAUGUUUAUGCUUGAUUAAGUCACUUAGAUACACAAGUUACUUAUGGACAUCUAGAUGUGUUUGAGGAAAACUUUUUUCCUUUCCUGUUUAUGCUUGAGUAAGUCACUUAGAGCCACUCCAAUGCAGUGACCCAAAUGGAUGUGGAUUUUGUCCAUUUGCGUCGGCUGAGCGGACAGUCAUGUCAGUUUUUUCAUUUGGGUAUGUCGGUAUGCCCAAAGCGGACAGACACAGUUUGGACAGUCCAUCCGACAUUUUGUCAAACACCUGAUGGGCCGCCGCCUUGAGCUGCUCGUUGACACUCGCCCCGAGCUCUUGCCGUCGCGCCGGCGUCCCGCCGCCGCCGCUUGCUGCACCCGCCAGCAAGCUCACAUGCUGGUCACGCUCGCGUUGCCCGCCUGCGCGCACCGUGCUCGCGUCUUGUUGUGCCCGCCAAUGAGCUCACGUCCUGGUCGCACCCCAUGCCAGUGUCGAAGCCAUGGGGUCGUGCACUCACGUGUGUUCUGGCUACGGAGGUGCGCCGCCAUGGCCGCCAUGAGUGCCCGCAUCUCCUCCAUGCCCGACACGGCCGCCAUGGUCGCCGUUGUCGACAGCUAGCGCGUGCUCCCGCUGGAGAACGCCAUGGGCACCCACGAAGCAAGCAAGCAAGCCAGCCAUGAGGAGGCACGCAUCACCGGCUUGGUGCGAGCUGCAGCCAAAGAGGAGGCCGCGCAGGGACUUGGAUUUGGUCGGGGUAGAGGGUCAUGCAGGUCGGCCAUGAGGAGGAGGUCGCGCGUACCGGCUUGCAUGCUCUGUUCACCGGCGAGUUGCAGCCAAAGAGAAGGCCGCACAACGACAAGGAGCUCGCCAAGGAGGAGGCUGCGGCACUCACCGGUGCCGGCGUUGCCCCGGCUCCGGCACUUCCCGUCGGCUAGCACAACGGAGGUUGCCCCGGCGGCUGCUUCAUGUCCCGUGGCGUGGUUGGUGGUCUGGAGCAUAGUGGACGGAUGGGUGAGAGAAGAGAAAGGAAAGCACGUGAGGCCAACUCCACCGCAAGACCCUAAAUGGACGUCCGUUUCAUUCGGAUUUUGUCCGUUUGAGGAAGUAAUGAGUGCCAAAACGAACAUGCAUGUCCGGGUGCAGGUGAAGGCGCCCAGCGCGCCGACCGACCCCAAACUGUCCGCCUGGACCACGUGCCCACGCCUGCGCCUCGCCUGCCCGCGAGCUCGUGCUCUCGCCUUGCCGGUGCGCCCGCGCGGCCACCUCGGGGCGGCCAGGGCGCGGGCACGUGCUGCCGCUGCAGCUCCCGCAGCUGCGCCUCAUAGUCCCACCCGCCGAACGCNNNNNNNNNNNNNNNNNNNNNNNNNNNNNNNNNNNNNNNNNNNNNNNNNNNNNNNNNNNNNNNNNNNNNNNNNNNNNNNNNNNNNNNNNNNNNNNNNNNNNNNNNNNNNNNNNNNNNNNNNNNNNNNNNNNNNNNNNNNNNNNNNNNNNNNNNNNNNNNNNNNNNNNNNNNNNNNNNNNNNNNNNNNNNNNNNNNNNNNNNNNNNNNNNNNNNNNNNNNNNNNNNNNNNNNNNNNNNNNNNNNNNNNNNNNNNNNNNNNNNNNNNNNNNNNNNNNNNNNNNNNNNNNNNNNNNNNNNNNNNNNNNNNNNNNNNNNNNNNNNNNNNNNNNNNNNNNNNNNNNNNNNNNNNNNNNNNNNNNNNNNNNNNNNNNNNNNNNNNNNNNNNNNNNNNNNNNNNNNNNNNNNNNNNNNNNNNNNNNNNNNNNNNNNNNNNNNNNNNNNNNNNNNNNNNNNNNNNNNNNNNNNNNNNNNNNNNNNNNNNNNNNNNNNNNNNNNNNNNNNNNNNNNNNNNACGCCAUGGCGCCGGCCGCGGAGGAGGAGUUGGCCGCCCCUCCAGCCACCAAGCGUGCGCCUACCUGGUCGGGCCAGUGCUGCAACCACCAGCACCCGCACGCGCUCGCCUCAUGCGGCGUCGCCGUCGUCGGCCCCCGCUCGCCCCGCCCGUGCCGCUCCGGGCUCAACGCCCUAGCUUUGCGCCCGGUGCUCCUGCCUUGCCGGAGCUCGUCGUGUAGGCUAGCGGCAGCACGUAGCGGGCAUCCAUGGCCGGGAAAAAGGAGAAAAAGGAGGAGAGAGGGGAUGGGUGGGCAGAGAUUCCUUUUUAUUUGUAUGACAGGCGGGCCACACUGCACAUGCAAGCGGACCGAGGCGGACGAGGAGUGGCCAGAGAGUGUCCGUCUGUGUCCGCUUCGGCCCCAAAACGAGACCAACUUUGGUCCAAAGAUGGGGUGAAACGGACACGAAACAGACGAGAAAGAAAAAUGGGGUCUGCCGCUGGGCCGUCUGAUUUGUCCUUUUUACCCCAAACAGACAGGGACGGA